CCCACUUUAUUAUAUGCUACCCUUUUUCUGCUUUGAUAGACAGGGACAAAGGAAACCCAGCUGGGUAUGUCCUGCUUGCCUUUUCAGUUUUUUUCUCUCUAGGUAAAAUGACAGGGUUGGGCUAUUGGGUUUUUCAGACUAGAGAGUAUACAAGUGUAGAACCACACUGCAGUGUUGAGUGUGGACUCAAAUUUAUUUAGCCUGGUGCAAAAUUGAAGAUGCUUUGCAGCUGCUUAUAAACAGUGGAGUAUGGGGAGGGGCUGUGACUCUGUGAGUGAGGGUGUGGGGGCCCAGCUGGGACCCUGAUUCUGCUAAGGCCUUUUGGGACCCACAUUUUGGCAUCACUAUCUUUGGCAAGGUGCUUUAUCCAAUGGGGACCAACUGAAUUUCCUUAAUUUGUUUUACUAAAUCUAAUUUACUUAAUUAAAUAAAUGCCAAGUAAUGAGGAUUUACAGGUGUGUUUGGGUUAAACCUGGGGACUAUUUUUUACUGUGGUUUUUGGUUUUUAUUGUUGUGAAAAUAACACAAAGAUUCUCAAACUCAUCCCGAGACAGUUGGUUGUAUUUUAUUGGCGGCAAUAUCUGUGUUGUGCUAUUCUGCUGUUUUCCUUAGAAAACGCGUGAAGAAUUAUAAAGAAACACUAAACUUGAUCUGGCGGUUAAUAAAUGCAAUCACCGUGAGUUGGGGGUUACCCACCUGACUAAUUCGGUAGUUUUUUUUUUUUUUUUUUUUUUGUGUGUGUGGAGGAAAUGGUAUAGCUUUGCCUAUAUCAUAUUAUCAUAGGCACCGCUUAUUCGGUAGUCUUUUGCUAAUCAUAGUCUUGGUCCUUGAUUGUGCUUUGAUAGUUUGAAACUUUGAAUGGUGAGACUAUAUUCUAAAAACUUCUAAUAAGUAAAUUAUGGUAGUUUACUAGUGUAAAAAUUGAAAUUAUGACUCUAGAAUAUCAUACGUCAUUGAUGUUCACAAACAUUAACGAACAACACUCACACAAAGUUAUUUGUGGUUUUUCUGAUUAAAGCUAUUACGUUAUAUAUAAUUAGUAUGGAAUAUCGGUUGACAAUGAUUUUUAAUAUUUAUCUAUGAAAAUGAAUUUAAGUCUUUAUGGACUUUUAAACUAGUUGAUAUGCAAAUUUAUGGUGGAUUUGUAGCUAGUUGCAUAUUUGUAUUUCUUUGUUUUGUUUAAUAAGGAAGUAAGGAACUGUAAUACGCAAAAUACAAAAUGAUUUUACCAGUUACGUAUACAUACAUAGACGAAGAUGGUUCAUAAAUGAAAUUGUCAAACAAGGCUCUCGAUUGAUCACAAUAGAACUCCAAUCAAUAAUGGUCAUAACUAAUCUCCAAUUGUGUGCUUAAUUGGGCUAUAUACAUCUCAUAAUUGAUCACUUUGCAAUCAAAUGAAAACGUAGAGCCUGUCAUAUGAGGAUGAACCGUAUGAUAUACAAAGAUGUGAAAACGCAAUGUUUGAUAGCAAGCUACGAUUCUAUGAUCAGUACGUACGUAGAUUAAUUUGCUUGAAUAGCAACUUACAAUUGUACCAAGCAGUCCUUAUUAACCACCUAUAUGUUUUAUCAAGACGUCGUACGAAAAGAUCCACUAGAACUAAUGAUCCAACAAGAAACUAAUCAAGAAACAUCCGAUAAUUCUCUUUAUUUGUUCAAUGAAGAAUUUGGUUUAGUUUCACAAAUAAAUUCUUAAUAUUUGCCGCCAUGGCUGCUUGGCAUUUUGAUGUCAUAUGUUCAUUAUAAAGAAAGGUUAGGGGGGGGGGGGGGGGGGGGGGGCUAUUACAGACUUGAUCGAUUCGAAUGUUAAUUAACCACGUCCAUCUGCUCGUCAUAUGUGUCUUAGCAUUACUCAAUAACAGUCAUUUUUGAAUGAUCCACAUCAAUCCUUUAAGUAUAAGAAGUCUUUUUCUUUUACCAAACAACUAAUUUGUCUUCUAAUCCACUCAAACAACAAAUGGAAGCCAAAUGUAAUAGAAGUGGAGCUCCAUGCCUGCCUCCAUAUGCAUACAGGUUGCAAUCACAACAAGACUAUCUAGUGUGCAUGAUCAUGAUUCUAAGGCCAAGUCCUAUCCUCCUUCAAAGUAUCAAAGAAUAACGACCAUACAUCUUCAUAGGUGUAAAACCACGAAAACUCUCACUUUUGUUAAAAAGGGAAUAGAGAUGGUUUACUUGCCGGGAGGAGAAAGCCAGCCGGCCAGUCAAAUUAAGAGAAAAAGAAAAGCUAGGAGCUCCAAAGAGCAUUUGUAGCCAAAGGAUCUUGUGUAUCUCUGUAAUUUGUAUAUUUCUUCUAAGAGUGUCCUAGAAUUAAAGCAAAGUGCUCGCAUAAAUUAAAGAAAACACUUGCAUGCACUCCUUCCCCAUUCUCCCACCAACACAAUCCAUCAGCGUGCAUUAUUAGUUUAUAUUACAAGCACCAACCAUACAUCCACCUCCCUUUAUUUCCAGCAUUGCUGUCUAAACCUCAGAUCAUCACUAGGGUUUACACUAAAUUAAGCUUGAUAACUAGCUAAACCAAAUACCUCAGGCUAAUCAAAAUGGCAAAUUUGCUGUUGGGGUGUCAAUUCUUGCUUCAAUCAGUGCAGGGUGUAUCUGAAAUUUCAAUUGGAAGGAGGAUCCGUGCUAUGUUUUCCAACCAGGAAAUGGUUCAAUUAUAUAUAUUUUGGCUCUGAUCUCUGUUUGCAUGUUACCUGUGGUGCUGCUCUGGAGGAGAAUCACAUGCCUCACAUCAACAGGUUACUUAAAUUAAACAAGAACGCGGCGUCGUAUAUGUGGACAUGUGGUAGACUAAAAAGAUAGUCCGCAUUUCUGAUCGAUUAUGUUUGCAAUUAUAAAGCAUAUAUUGUUCAUAUAUGUAAGAUGCAGAAUGGAAUUCUGCAGAAGAGUUCAAGCAUAUGGGACACUCGGAUGAUGCGGAAAUUUCCUCUUUCUAGUUCUAAUUCUAUCAGAUUAUAUUUAUAUGCCACCAGUAAGGAGUAAAAUAUUCAAAAUAUUCUCGAUAUUUCCUCGAAAUUUCCGUUUUUUACAAUUAUCGAUAUUAAUUUUCAUAUCUUUCUAAUAUUUUAUAUUUAGUCUAUUUUUAGUCGAAUAUACAACUUUUAGAUAAAAUUUGGUAAAAUUUCCAUUGAUAUUCGAUAUUAUCUCGAUAUAUCAAUCGAGAUUUCAUUUUUUCGAACCAUCGAAAUUUCCAUGAUCAUCGAUAUUUUACUCCUUGACCGCCCACCACCAAAUGUGGAGCAAUUUCCAAAUAUUUUUCAAAAGGAAAAAAAAAAAAAAAUAAUAUAUAUAUAGAUAUAUAACGGUUUUGCUUAUUGAAGGUGAGCUUAGAUGUUAGUUAGCUAGGCUAAUGAUAUAUAUGUUUAGUCAAGGACUUUAAAGUGGAAAAGGGAUUAUAUAGCAUAUCUUGCAAGCGAGUUUAUUUAGCUUGCUUGCAAAUAUAAUGCCCAUUAUGAAUCGAUGUUCAUGAUAUCCCCCAACCGAUCGACUUUUAAACCUUAGUGUUUAGCCACCCAAUUUCCAAAAGGACCUUUUCCAAUUAGGGUGUGGCUAUUGAAAAAUGAUGCUAAUUAAUCUUUUUAAUCAUGGCUAGUUCAGAAUCUCAUCAUCAAUUAAGUAAAGGGGUGUGAAAUUAAAUUAGGCAUAUAUUCUAGCUGCACUAUAUAUUAUUAAAUGAUAUAAAACUAUAUGUUAGACAAUUAUCUUUUUCACCUUAAACUAUUGAAUAAGUCAUAAAAGGUUUAAGAUAAAACGCAUGAUAAAGUUAUUUUGGUCAUACAAUUGGUACAUGGUAAUUAGCAUAUGUAGUUUUUUUUUAAAAUUUUUUUUUUGUUAAAUAACCCACCCAUUUUACAUAUCUCAAUGAGACUUGAGCUCAUGAUUUCAAAGUUGUUAGUUAACCUUUAAACCAACCAGGUCACGGCUCGCCAACAACUACAUGUAUAGUUGCAUUGUGUGAAACUCCUUAAUUUGGCAGGUGAGUACUAAUUACAUGUGUGCGUGAUGCAAAGUAUUCAAUUCGUCAAAAUAAAUAAAUGAUAGAAAAGCAAGAGAUCGAAAAUUGAUGAGCUUUACCGGCCAUACUAAAUUAGCCAAGGAUGCAUGAUCACCAACCUAGCUAGCUAGUUUUCACAAUUCUGGGUAACUUGGUUUGAUUAGGAUAGGAAUAAAUCAUGCAUGCGUAACCUGACUACCUACUCCAACGCCAAACCGUACGUGCCUUCACAUUCAAUUUCUCUUUUUGGUUCAUUCCCACGUACGUCGACGUCCUUUAAUUACCAGUUUACCUUAAUUAUUACUCACCAUGAAUAAUGAAACCACGUCUUUUGGCAGGAGCAGAAUCAGAAAACAGAAGCAGAAGCAGAAGCAGAGUUAUAAUAAAGACUGAUCGAGUGAAGCAGUUUCAGAAUCAGCUUAAUUUUCCACAGUACCGAUCCAUCUGCGUGAAGCAUUUAUAAAAAAGACACGCUACUGCGCGGUUCUUGAGUUUUGGAUCCUUUUUUCUUUUCUGGUCUGUAAACUAAACCAUAAUAAAUACUGGGGAUUGGUGAAUGAGAAACGCAUAAAAUAUAAGAAAUUUUACGUUUUGGUUGUGUCAAACAAAACCAUUUAUAUAUAAUGAUCACAAGACAAUAAAUCUUAAAUCAUAGCAAUCAACAAGAAAGGUUAAACUAAUUGAUCAUAUGUUAACCAACAAUUGGUUUAAAAUAUCGUAACAUAAUAUAUUGACUUGAAUACUUAUUCAAGAAUCAGUGUAUCAUAGCAUCAGUUUGAUAAGAAAAAUGAAAUACAUAAACUAUAUAUAUAUCUAUAUAUAUAUAUAUAUAUAUAUAUAUAUAUAUAAUAUCGUUGUUUUCUUGAGUGAUCUAUUUUUUUAUUGACAGUCUGAGUAUGAAAUUGAGGAACCGACUAAUCGAUCCACUAAAACCUAACUAAAUCAAGAUCAUGUAAGGGACUAGGUUCAUCAAAUAUGUUGAAAACUUCAAGCGCGUAAAUAUUUAGAGAAUUCUCAUCAUAUAUGUCAUUAAUUUCUUUCAUAAAGUCUACACAUAUCUACUACAGGAGUAUGUGACACUCAAUUAUAGGACAAGUUACAAAAAGAUAAAAGACAUAUGUUCCUUAGCACGUUGAUUGAUGUAGCUAUAGUUUGAGUUUUAAGCAAGUUCGUUAAAAAAAAAAAAAAUUAAAAAGAGAAGAGUUGAUUGAGGUCGGUCGAGUGGUUAGGGGGAUCCUAGAGUGGACAAUCUCUGUCUGUCUUGUGUCGUAAAAAAACAAUCUAUGUCUGUCUUGAAAUUGGCCUUUUGCAAUUUGAAACUUCUUUUCUUUCGCACAAACCGAAACCGAAGUAGACACUUUACACCAAUUAAUACCAGAGCUCCAGGCUCCAGUACAGUUGCUGAGUUGCAAGUCGAUCACUUGCAUCCCACACACAAUUGUUUUCAGAAGAUUUGGUCUGUUUCACUCGGUUGGUUUAGCCAGUAAUUAAAACCAUGGGUUGUAUUUCGAUCUUGAAGUUUUAUGCUGCAAAGAUGGCAUAUAUGAAAUCAUGUAGUCGACAACUGGACAUCACUGAAAUGAUCUCAAGUCUUAACUUGGUGGGUGUAAGUUGCAACCGUGCAUGCAUAGAGUCAAAGUUUAUGUGCCAACCCGUGGUAGCAAGUAAUUGCAUCUUCAAUUUGGUGGGUGGUUCAUGGUUGCUGGUAAUUGCUUUUGAUCUGUCUUCUAUGUGAUUUGAUUUCUUCAUACAUAGCUGUAUGGUUUAGCCAGUAGUGCCUGCAGCCUCUCAAGUCACAACAACAACAUAUGGUCCUUUCACAUUAGAUCCUACACUUGUAGUUACCCUUGUUCGCAAUUGGAAAUAAGGUCAAAAUGCCCUUAGAGCGUGGGUCUCGCUUCUACAAAGAUCUAAUGCAAGGGUCUCCAUCACCCAGUACGUACUCUUACAAGUUACAAAGAUUUGCAUCGGCAUGCAUUAGAUUUUAUAAUGCAUGCAGGACUAGCAACGUUAGGUUUUCGUGAGCUCAUUUCUUCAUUGAAUAACUUAGCAGCCAAAUUAAGCGAUGUAUUGUAUGGGAAUAUUUAUUGAGUUCAUGAGGAUGGCCAUUCAGUUUACUCAUCAAUAAUCGAAGAGUGAUCUAUAGGAUUAUGGAUCUUAUGUAUUCACAGAAUCGAAUCCUGGAGUGACAUUAUAUAUAGGACUUAAUUGUGACUUCAUCCAAUCCCGGCCCUAUUAUACAAAACUGCAUGCAUGCACAAUGCUAAUUUAUUCUAAUUUGGCUAUGAAAAUUGAGCUCAUCGAUUCACGAUCGUUUUGUUUAGUGAGAUGAAUUUCUUUAUUUUAUGAAAUCGACACACUUUAGAUUAUUGUUAUAGCACCGCCAUAAACAGCAUAGUGCAGAAGACAGCUAAUGAGAUCCAAUAGCUAUAGUUUGGUCAUCCUUCACUUCGACUAUGACUGCGUUGUUGAUCACCUUCACUAAUUCCAUUUAAGCAUUUGCUAUAACACACCACAUGCACGAGUCCCGUCGAUCACUACUUGCUGUUUUGUGUUCUAUAUCGAUCUCAAUUAUUUGGAAUGAGACUCGUGCACGAUUAAUUGUGAUUAUAAUCUUACAUUACUUUGGUAUUGGAGCGAGACAAAGAAUACUAUGGAAAUGGUAAAAAAGAAUGACCAUUUGAAUUCAUCCCUACUACAAAUUUGGAUUUUCUUUAGCUGAUCGAAGACAUAAACAACGUAGAAUCCGGGAUGGGACUCACGAGUGUGUACUGGGACACACGCAAAAGCCAAAACCUAAAUUUGAAAUGUUUUUUAUUUUUUGUUUUUUUUUUGUAGAGGCCUAAUAUUAUACUACUUUGAUGACUCAUUUUAUAACUUGAAGACAAAAUUAAUACAUCACAUGCAUUAACACAACAUAAUCUUACCCAUAAAUUCUUUGUUAGGAAAAAAAGCUUUGAUUCAAAAGAUUACUUAUUGAAAAUUAUAAUUCGUGGAGUCAUAUGAGCAUCUUACGUACUCAUAACUAAUCGUUAAUUAAUGGUCAAAGUAGUAUUGUGCACUUAAUAAAAAAAUUGACAAAAAAAAUCAUGCUCACCUGCAUGUGAAUGUAAAUCUAACAAUAGAAUAAAUAGUUGUUAUUGAGUUGAGUUGUUUUGUUUUAUAUCGUUAGCUUGAUUUGCACCAAACGAUAGUUAAGAAUAAUUUUCAUGGUCCAUUACUAAUUACUCACUAUGUGAACUUGCACCACUAUUAGUUAGAGAGGUCCAAACUCUUAACUUUAAUGUCAUGUCUCAUUUUUUUUCAUGAAGUCAUACAGGUUGAUAACUUAUUAAUUAGGUGACUUACAACUAUUGAUCGAUGAACAUUCGAAUUCAUAUAUAGCUGAGUGGAUUAAUCCCUCUAUAUAAUUAUGCACAUUGUUCCUUAUUGUCCUCUUUAUCAUUUUGCUCAAGUUAAAGUGGAUUAAUCCUCCCUAUAUGAUUAUGCAAAUUGUUCUCAAUUGUCAUCUUCAUCAUUUUGCUCAAGUUAAAUGGCUUAAAUCCAGAAACUUUGUUACUAAAGGGAACACCAAACACGUACCAUCAUCAUUUUGCUCAAGUUAAAUCCAUAAAUUCGUUAUUAAAGAGAACACCAAACACCAAACAACAAACACCGUCCUUGGUGUUCUCUUUAAUUAAUAAAGAAAUUUAUGAAUUUAAGUACUUGAGCAAAAUGAUGAAGAUAACAACUGAUGAGAACAAUUGAUUUGCACUAUCAUAGUCUCAUAGAUAGCCACUAGAUGAGGUUGACGCAUCGAUUGAAUAGAUGGGAUCAAAACACACAGAUAUAAUUCGAUCACUUGAACAGUCUGAUAUCGUUAUCAUCCUAAGUCCUAACCAGAGGGAUAUUUAUGGGAUAUAUAGAAUUAGACGAGAAGCUUAUAGAUUUUUUUCAAUUAAGUACCAAAUUGAAAGGAUGAAAGCUAUAAGUUAGAUAUACUCACAAGGUUCUUAAGGAUGAAUCUGCCGCACAGUCAUGUCUGCUUCUUCUUAAGGAUGAGUUUGCCACAUAAACUUGAAGCUGCUAGGGAUCGAUAAGGAUGAAAUCGCUAGCUAGCUAAUGAGUCACGUAUCCUUAUGAUCUCCAAGAUGAUAGUGAUCUAUCGAUCAUUAUAUGGGAGUAAGUAAAUCAUAGAUAGACUAGAGUUAUAGAUUAAACAGAGAGUCUAAAUUUUACGAAAUUGAAAUAAAUUUUACAAAAAUCGAUCCUCAUUUUAAAAAAGCCCGAUCUAAAGAAAAACAAAAUAUCUUAGUUGAAUAGAAACUUUGAUUUGUGUAUGUCAUUUGGGUCCUUGUAGAAGGUGAUUAAGGUAGCAAAAGUUCAAUACAAAUUAAUAAGAAAAUCGAGGCCUAUAUGAUUUCAAGGGCCUUGCUUGGCCCCUCCAGAUUCUUUUCUCCUCAUCAGGAACAAACUUACAAUAGGGUCCAAACAAUUAUCAAAUCCUUGGAUGACCUUACCAUAAAAGUACUCUAUGCCUUUCAUCAUCAUCAUCAUCGAUUCAAAGCCGGUCGAAUAGAGUUUGGUUUAUUCAGCGGUUCAGCUCACUCUAAAACAAAAAUGGCACGAUUACUAACUUAGAAACUUAGAAUGAGAUGAAAAUAUUGAAACUGAUUCCGGAUGGAAAAUUUGUACGUAUAAUUAGUUAAUACCGACAUUACGUACCUUAGUUAGUUAACACUCCUAACUAGCUAAGUUGUGUCAUUAAUUUAGUUGAUUAUUAAAGCUAGCCAACCAAUUUAAUUAAGUAGCUAACCACUGGUACUAUUAUGUAUGCAUGAAUCAAUGAAUCAGGUUGAUCGAGCACGUAACGUUUCCAUAUAUUGAAUCAAAAAUCGCUUUCGAUGGCCUGAGAAUGACAAAGUGAUCGAAUAUAAGCUUAUCCAUAUUGAGAAGAACAUGCAUGCAUGGCCCUAGCUAGCUAUGUCUCUCCUUUUGUCUCAAUAAUUUGAUAAUGUCCAGUGCAGAUCGACUUGUUUGCUUAUUCCUCAUGCAACCAAGUCAUCAGCAAUUUGAUCCAUUUUAGCACCAUUGGUUUCUAAUACGCCUCAUCGAAUUGGAUAGGCCUUAUCAUAUAUCCAUCAUUUAUGUUAAUUUAUGGAAGAGAGCUACACACUCUACUCUAUCUCCGGCCGCAUUUAAAUUCAUCAUGCAUGAUCACUUUCUCGAUCUUUCAGCCUGCCUAAUGUAGACUGGUCUAUAUUGUACUGAUGUUCUAUGACUUAUCGCAUGCUAUUAUUCUAACCUGCAGACAGAUCUAGGAGGUGUCCAAGAAAUUAUCAAAUCUCAGUAAGCUGAAAUGUGGAUUGAAUAGCUGAUAGCUAGCCCACACAUAUAAUGCAGCUUAAUUGAGUGAUGAUACCGAAAGCCAAACUGUUUAUUAACUUGUUACCAAACUGUCCCAGACUAUUCUACCAAUUAAAGCCAUUUGAAAAUUCUCAAAUGUAUUAGUGAUAACCAAAUAUUGAUUUGUCACAUAUGUCAAUAUCAUUGGGUAUCAGAUGAUACUUUUUAGAGUUCCAUUCGGGAAUCAAAUUGCUCUCAUAAUUUGUUGGAUUGCAUUGGUACUCUAUUCAACAUUUGUAUUUAGAUUUUAUUUAUUUAUUUAAUUACUUGACUAUUGUACAUAUAUAUAUGACUGGUAUGAUUUACAUUCAAGUAUGUGUAUAUGAGUUCAAAUUUUCCCAACUAAGCUGAUCACCCUAUUAUAUAGUCUUUAGUGCACGACUGCGUAGCUAACUAAAGAAACGCCACCAUCUUUGUGAACUCAAUCUUACUCAUUUUAGUUGAUGUCCUAUGGUUGCAUGUAUAGAAUUAUUGUUCAUUCCACACAAUAAUCAUAACUACGUACUACUACACAUACUCAUGAAUGAUCUUUUGCUUCUUGUUUAACUGUAUUGAAGGAUGAUAUUUACAACAUGUUGGCUAACUUUUUGAUGUGAAAAACCACACAGUACGUUGGAGUCACCAAGUGAUUUGAGUCAGCCCAUUGAGGCAUUGACUAAAUAUAAUUUUAGUUUCCUCAAAUAUUUCAAACAUAAUAGAUGUUUAUAGUUAUAACUGCUUUCAUUUAAUCAGACUUCUUUUCCUUUGCUGCAUUUUAUGACUUGUUAUCACAUCAAAAGUAUGCCCUCUAUCAAUUUGAAAUUCAUUUCAUGCCGAAAAGAAAUAAAAAUUGCAUUCACAACCUAAAAUUCACAUUGAAAGUGCAUGUCCAACAAUCUAGUGAGGUAUCAGAUAAGUUUUUGGUGACUAACAAUACAAAUAGCAAUUCAAGUUUCAUAAGGAAGCUAUUUCCCUUACAUAACCAUAUGCAUAAUUAUUUGGAAAAUUGAUGCAUCUAGAAUUCACGAAGGCACAAAGAAUAGUGAUGCAAGCUCUAUUUUGUGCUGCAUGUGUUGUGUUGUGGAGGCUCAUGAUCAAUCUACUAUACACGAUUUCCAUUAUUACCAAUAAGAUCGACAUGUAGAGGCAGGCAGCGCAGCGCAGCGUUAAAUUGGCGGAAAGCCACAUUGCUAGGCAAGUUUGCUGUCACCUUUAAACCAUGAUUUCAUCCUUAAUCCAUAACAAAAAUCUGAGCAUGAGACUUACCCACGAGCUUGAUUGUCCAAAUCUGAUGACCCAAUUCACAAAAGAGGACUCGUAUAUCCUUAAAUUUUCGAUCUUCCUACCAUGUCAUACUGCUGUUGAUUUGAUUGCCGUGCAAGCUAAAGGGAGAAUAAAUCUUGAUAUGGGUAUUGGACCUCCAUCUUCCCCUAGUUCAUGUGCUCAAGUGUGAUGGUUUACCAGGUUCUCUUUUUCUGAGAGAUUAUGAGAUGCUCUGUAUCUCCAAUUAGUGUGAUAUCUACUGCCAUUGUUACAUUUUCAAUGAAAUUUCUAUUGUCCAAAAUUGAAAAAGAUAGACUUGUAGUCUUGUACGUGAUUGGAAUCAUUAUAAUUGUUGUACAUUUCUACUGCUCUACACAGAAUUGGCAACCUGUGAAUAGCGUACGCUAGAAAAGAUGUCAACCGUGAUCAAUAUGAACAGCUAACUGUGAUCAAUAUAAACAGCUACGAUUAAGAUCAAGAGAAAAAUGACCCUGGCGAUCACCACAGGGAAAGCGCCUCAGACAAGUAAUAGAGUUAAACUGUAAAUGUAAAGAUUCUUGAGCCAGCAGAUAAGGAAACCUGGUUGCCUGACCUCCUAGUAUGCACUAGAUUGACAUUUAACUAAAGGAGUAGCUGACGCAGAUAAUCUAUCAACACACCCAGCUUUGAGAGUUGAGACCGCUGGGUGUGUUCUUCCAUAUAGCCCAUAAUGCACAAGAGCCAAAUAGUGUUUUGAAAUACAGGAAAGACAGGAAGAUAAAGUUACUGCACAUUACCAGUUUGAAAAAAAGUUAGAGCAGAGAAGUACCUUCAACUUACAAGUUCCAUCUGCUUGGAGUACAAAUACAAUAGUCGGUCUUGACGACUACGAGAGAAGAUUGAUCUCAGUUGCCCUUGCUGCCAUCAAGAGAGAGGUUGUAAGACUCUAAGGUCUAAACCCACAAGCCAAAGAAAAUAAAAUGCAGGAUAAGGGCCUGGUUAACUAGAGAAAGAAUCCAGAAGAUACUUUACAGCAUUCACAGACGAGAAAAUCAUUCUCCAUGUCUGCGGAAAAUAUUCCCUACACACAUAAAUUGAACAAUAUUUAUCAUUUGAUGCUACAAGCUAUACACUUUCCCAAAACAAAUUGCAACGAACCAGGAACAUUCAGAAACAUAUUCCUAAAAGAGUGCAUGGCAUGAACUUUUAGUCGUUUGCAUAUCAUAAACUCUAUCAGUUUCUGUAUCCAUUUCCAAAAGAUGAGAAAUAAGCUAGCCACACACUUAUUAUUUUGGUAGUAUAAGCUUCAAGGAAAAUGAUGCAGUUACCAUCUAGACAGAAAAAACAAAUAUCACCAGGGAAGCAGCUUAAUACUGCAAUUCCAACUGAAAUAUUAAGAUCAAACCUGUGUACUAAGGUUCUAAUUUUGUUUUUACUGCAAUUUUCCUUUCAUGGUAAAUAAUACAUAGGUCUUCCUUUUCUAGGCCUUUCUUCAAUAUCAUGAACACUAUCAGCAUGUUGACCACCAAGGCACAUCCUUGUGGGUUCUACAUAUUUCAAAAAAUGGUUCACACCGAGUCCACUUCUUUUAAGUUCCUUCACAAAGAGAUUACAAAAUUCUCAUCUUUCAAGCAGUUAAUAAGCACAACCACACCAGGAUUAAUGGCUUCACAUCGACUAAUGAUCAAGGAAUUGGAACCUUAAUCAGUUUCAGAAUUAACUAGAACUUAGCACCAAAGCUGCAAUACCGAUAUUGAUAUGAAACUAACUUAGAAUGUUGGCAAAUGAGUAGACCACUCAGUUUCUUCUUGAGUGUCAUCUUAACUAUAAAGUAUCCCAAAGAAAAUUAAAAUGAGAUGUUAUUUUAUCAGCUUGCUUCUUUUUGUUGUUUUGAUACGCAUAACUCCUCCACACCCGGUUUCCAAACCCUGGCUGAAAACUGGGGAAUCAUUUCCUGCUCAAGCCUACAAUCUUUAGGAGGUAUAAUACAAUAAAGUGACAGAAAAGUCCUAGCAGUUAGAAUCCAGAAAUCAGGAAAAAGAUCAAGAGAACCUAAAAUGGAGACUUAGAUGACAUGAUCACAAUCUUGAUUGUUUACAUCAUAUCUUCCAUACCUGCUUAAUAAGCACUUAUUACCUGCUUGAUAAACUUAAUACCAGUACUGCCUAUUAGUGGCAUUUGUCUCAAUUCAAUGCUUUUCACCGCAUAAUUUACACUUAGUAACACAAAAUUCUAAUUUCUACACAUGUCAUAAUAUAACUGGUCUCUUGAUCUAACUUUAAAGGUACGCAGGGGGAUUAGAUAAUGCCAUAAUGGCCAUUUUUGUUGUUGUGGAGUUCAGGGAUUUAGCAAAAGGUCUCUCCCCAGCUAGUUUAGUAGAUGAUGAAGAGUGGGAGAAGCCACAAUGUGGGAUUCUACAUUCUAACAUCAAGCCAAGCAAGUGAAUAAAAAUAUUUUGUGAUACAUUUAGCAGACGCAACAAAUUCCCAAUCCGUACUGCACAUUCACCAAGGAAGAAUGGAUGGAAUAUAAUUUUAACAACCUAAGAGCAAAUUGUUUGCAAGACUCGAUGAUUUAAGAUGUCUUUUCUAGAUGGUUUCAAAUUUCGUUCAUUUUAUUACAUGGUACAAGGGUUUUAUGCCACGAAAACGGAAAAAGCCUGUCUACAAAAGGAAAAGAAGAGGAGUAUAAAAAAGAUCUUGUUCUUACCGAAAUCCAAGUUUGAUGACGAUCUUCUUUGAUAUCAUCUUCACUAGCAGCAUCUUCACCACACAGAUAAUCACUAUUGAUUCUAAAACUUCAAUGAAAUAUUCCAGUUCAAGGUCAUCUUCUUAAAGAUUCAUUCAGAGUGCAGGCAGAAGAUUAUUAAACCUAUUAGUACACACUUUUCAAGUACUGAAUUAACAUCUUGAUAAUGACCAAAUUCUCACUAUGAAUUUUGUUUAGCAUUAAGAUUGGUUCAGAAAACAUUAACGGAGAAAAAAGGAAAGAAAAAAAAAAAAAAAACUAAACUAGAUGGCUUACCCUAGCUCACAUCAACAACAUGGCUGAGUAGCUGAAACCAAAAGAGAGUUAUAUGGGCUCACACAUAACAUGAUCACUUGAGGAAAUUGACAAAGAACUUUAAUUGUAGGAUCAGAGAAUGCAAGUAGAGUUUGGGAAGUGCAGAUAAUGUCGGUCAUUACAUGACUGACUACAUGACUGACUGCAAACAUACGAGAAAUUGCUCAGACAGACCAACUAGUUGGAGGAAUGAUUGCAACUUGGUACAGUAUGCUAAAAAAAAAACAGAUGAUCCUAGGAACACUUGUUAAUCCAACAAAACCUUGGAAUCCAUGUCUUUUAGAUUUUCAUAAGAAAGUACAUGUGAAAAUGGAAAGUGCAAAUAAUGACGGUCAUUACAUGUUUCUUAAUCAAUUACUUGUGAUUGUGUCCUGUCCGAUUAUUCUGGAAGUGGACCUAACAUCAAGACGAGGCAGAAUACUUUCACCUCAACCCUGGUUUGUCACAGGCAUAUGUGUGCCAAACUUUAUAAGUUCAGUUUUAGUCGCUAAAGCAGUUGUAAGAAGUACCAAACAAUGAAAAUAAACCACAGAUUAACAACAUCACUAAUAAACACUCAUUUUAUAUAUCAAUUAUCAGUGACACUAACAAUACUAAUAAUAACAUGUCCACAAAAAAGAAAAAAAGAACUUUAAUUUAAAGUCUUUUUUUCUUUUUCUGAAUAAAAAGAAUGCUCAUAGGUUUAGUUUUGUGGUCUUUUUAAACCAAAACGGAGCCAUGAAAGUUUCACAAGACCACAAAACAUGAAAGUUUCACAAGGCCACAAAACACUUAGAAGGAAGAUUCACUGAAAGCUAACCUACAAGCAGAACUCAAGACAUCCGAUUUUAGGAUUCCUGCUCACCAAAUGAAGUCCGAGUCAACAUCAUGGCAUCUAGUGUUCCCUGUAUACAAAAAUUCAGCAAGUAUAUCAUGCAUGUGAUUAUACACAGAACUCCAAAGAAUUAAGCAUGCAUAUAACAGUCAGUUAGAGAUGGAAUCUAUGUAGAACAAAACGAUAGAAUAUUCUUGCUGUAAAUAUACAAAAUAAAAUGAAAUUGAGAGAUCAUCAACUAGGAGAAAAUAAAAGAGGUAAAAAAAAAAAAAGGAUUUCUAUAUAGUGUAUUGGCAUGUAAAUUGCAGUUUCAUGGUUGCAAUGACCUUAAUACAUUGAUGCAUUUGCUCUUAGCAACUUGCUCUCUUAUGCAUCAAAUGGAUGUCAUUGCCUAUCCAGUUCUCUAGUAUUGCCAGUUAGAUUUCAAACCAAUGUGUGUUAGGCUGUUAGCUAAGAAGCUGAGAAUAUAGCCAUAGUGCCAUUUAGCAUACACAAAUACAUGAUGAACCUGAAGUAAGACAACAACAUGCCUUGGGCUAGAUAAACAUCAAACAAACAUCUCUAAGCUUAUUAGCUUGAUAGCAGUAUGAUUAUGAAACUCCAACUCAUAACAUCAGAAAAUCACGAGCAAAUAUCAGAUAACAACGUUAAACGCCCCAGAUGAAUAAAAACUUAUCUUUUCAAAUGAAGGAGAAACCAAUGAAAUUGAUUUCUCAUUCUUAAACAGCAAAACUGAAAACCCAAAUGUCCUACACAUUAAUCAAACUACAAAGCCCAACAGAAGUUGAACAACUCUAUCACAAUUUCUCACUUCCUCCCGGAAGUUGAUUAGUAAAUAAAUUAAAAAGAGCAAGCAAUAAGCUGAUUACCUCAAAUUUGGCGGCUUCAUAUGACAAGAAAACGGGGUCGACCGAAUGGAUAGUUGAGGCAGUUUGAAGCAAGGGAGUUGCACACACUGACACUCUUUUAUUCUCUCUGUUUAUUGUAUGGUAAGUUGUUUGACUUUAACAAAUGCUAAAUUACAAUACAUAUUAUAAAUAUAUAAAUAUUUAUGAUGUUUACAUAUAUUUGCUAACUUGGUGUAGGGAAAUUUCAAUGAAAAUUUUCAAAAAUGAAGACGUUGGCGGAGAUCAUAUUCUUUGAUACUUGACGCUGUGAUCAAAUUAUCCCCAACUUGUUCGGGAACCAAGUAGUCAGGGUCAUCAGAACAGUCUUCAUCUUCUGGUAAGUUGCUGUCAAGCCAAGAGGACCAGUUUAAAUCACUAUCUCUAUCCCAUGUGAACUUCUGGUAUCUCUGCAUACCAUUAACCUUCUCAAUCAAUGUAUGCAGCAGUUGAUGGUUCAAUACUUCAUAGUCCCUGCAUAGUUUAAAAGAUCCUGUUAAAUACACCAUAUAUGAUGCGCAGUUUAGGUGAAAUGUAAAAGUUGGUACCAUUUGAUCUCAUACCUGUAUGUGAAAAUUGCAUGCAUUAGCUGAACCAAAGCAGUGGCUGCAAAGAGAGUCCUGAGAAGGUUUAUCUUCCAUGUUUGCUGUUCAAUGUCAUUCCCUGUGAGCCGAAGUAUUGCUACUUCUACUAAGAGAGUUAAACAAAGUCCUGUGAAGAAAAUUACAUACACAAAGUCAAUGCAAGUUAAUGAACUCGUGUAUGUUUCUGUAGUUUUAUUUUUCGUAGUAAGAUGGUGUAUUUACCAAUAUAUAGCCGAGGUCUAACUGUGUAUGUUCGCUUUGUGCUUGUGAACAUGUAGAUGACAAAGAUUGAUAUAGAGUAAAUAAAGAAAGCUUUGAUCACGCGUGAUUCAAGCAGCAUAGCAUUGUGCAAAGCCAAUAGCUUGUCUAGUGCAGCGAACAUGCUGGCUUGCUUUGAUUCAAAAGAUUCCUAUAUAUGAUAAACAAUGAGAGUCAAAAUGAGAAUUAAUACCAGUUGAAACAAAUCUCAUUAGUUAGAGUUCGGAAGCUAUACAAACCUGUGCCUCCAACAUUGACUUUGAGUUUUCCAUCAGGUGAUCAUGAACUUUUUGAAGCUGUAUUUGCUUCUGAAGAAGCUCUUCUUGUUGUCUCUGGCCAUAUUCGGUUAACCGUUGUAGGGUUCUCCUGCAAUUUAUUAAUGAAUUAGACUCAUUGUUCUACAUAUUUGCAGACUAAACUACACUGUUCUUAUUUGUUACCUGCUCUCUUCCAAUGCCUCAGAUUGAAAUUUGGUCAAAAAGUCUAACUCCUUGAGAGCUGUUGUUUGUCCAUCUAGAAGUUGCUUUUGCUUGUCCAAAGAGAGCCCUGCCAUAUUCCCAAUGUCAUCUGCUUUGACUUGCAGAUUUUCCAUCCUAGAGUACAUUUGGUCUCCAACUUUGAUGAUCUCUUUUUCAAUUUCAACAGCCUCAGUUUUCAAAUUAUCGAUUUCUUGUCCCAAAUGAAUAUAUGAAUCUUGCAGCAUUGCCAUUCCUUCCUUCAAGUUCUUCUUCAUUUCUACUUGUCCUUCUUGCAGCUCGGAUUGAGAUUCUUGGAUUUUCCUUGAUUGCUCAUAAACUUCUGUAGAAUGCUUCAACACCACAUCGAUAUGAUCUUCCACAUUCUCUGCAGUCUGAGCAACUUGCUGUGUUCGAAGAUCAAUUGAAUUCAAAGAAUCAAAUAUUUCACUCGACCCCUGCAGUAGCUGCUCUGCCUUCUCUUCAAUUAUUUCCAACUUGUCUUCUGCAUACUGAGCUGAAUUUUUAAGUUCAUUCACAAGUCUCUCUGUUUCAUACUUGAAUGCGCGAGCCCUAGCAACAAAUAGAAAAACAAAGUAACUGUUAGCUUCUUUGAAGGAAAGAAAGAAAAACAAUUCAAUCAAUUUACUUGAAAUAUUUACAAUACUUAACUGCAACUGAUGGCAUAUUGAGUUGGUUUCAAGGUAGAAUUCCAAAUAGACCUUGUGCUGAUCAUUGUUCAAAGUUUUCAGGCACUUAUACAUUGCAGAUUUCGGGUCACACGCAGGGAAAGGAGGCCUUGCUGAGUCCUUCUGAAAGCAAUCACUUAGAUGCCAAGCGAAUCUUGAGCGCUUCUCUUCAACGGCAUGCACCUCCGAGCACCCCGAAAAGAGAUGCCGGUAAGCAUUUUGCCAACAAGAGUUAGGACCUACCAACUUCUUCUCUGCAUCUUCAACAAGCCUGAUUGCCUUGGGGUCAUCAUUAUGACCUUCCAUGGAAAACUUACCUACUGAAGUUCCACUCAUAGAAGGGCUCUCAUGAUCAGUAGAAGACUGAGUCUCUUCAGAAGAAGGGAACCAACUCCAUGAGUGAGACUUUGAUGAAGCCAAUACUAGAAUUAGCAGACUUAGAAGAUAACGACAUUGACGACCCAUUUGAGUUUGUUAUAUGAAGUUUGUUUCCCAAAUCACACAAACCUGCAACAAAUUAACCAAAUAAGAAAUUAUGUGAUCCUCUAGUCCUCAUCACAUACAUAUAUAAUAUCAUGUCUUCCUUUAGAAGACACAGAGAGACUUGGAGUUCAAGAAACGGAAAUGGGAAAGCUGCACGCUUUGUACAAAGCCAAAGUCGAGAAAUUCGGUUUAGUCAAAAGAGGACUGUGACGUUUUCGUUGUUUAGAAUAAAAUGAAAACGACCAUUAUAUGAAAGUGAGGAGGAGAAGAUGAACAAGAUAAAAAAAAAACACAUGUAAUCACACCAUAGUAUCAGUCAUUUUAAGCUUUUCUUGAUCAGCAAAUUUAUUCAGAUAUAACAAUAUCAAUCAAACUAAUUAGACAAGUAAUGCUACUAAUCGAUCACACCCAGAAGACAGAACAAACGAAACACAGAGAGAGACAGAGAGAGAGAGAGACCUGUGUUGAGGAUUGAUGGUGGUUGCCUGCGACUAGCUAUGUGUGUAAAUGGUGGUGUGUCAUAUAUAUAUAGAUACAUAUAUAGAAGAAGACAGAGAGGUGCGUUUGGGAUUCUAGAGCGACGUAACUGUUGAUGGAGAAAAAGGCAAGAGAACAAAGACGGUAAGUGGUUAUGAAGAUUCCAGUCUUUCUUCCUCCCUUCCUCGGCGGCCUCUCUCUUUUCCAGCCAUUGCAUGCCCGCCGUGGAGUUACCGGAAACGCUCCUGUUCCCGGCGACCCGCAUUUUCGAUAGGACAAACCCAAAAUGGGGUGCAUUCGCGACCUGGAUCGCCAUGUUUAACUAUCCUAUCUUAAGGACAAUGUUUACCCCGAUUAGUCCUCUCUCUGCUGGUGUUCUUGAAUACAAAAGCAUUUGUUUUUGCGCCAUGACUACCUUGAAAAUGCUAGGUUUAAAGGCAGCAUCCAUUUGUUGGUCACUAAUAUUUCCUUUUUGUUAUUAUUUGAGAAAACUCAAAAAGAUUUCCUCAUUGUUCUAGGAUAUUCUCUAUGUGUGUCUUGGCCUUAUGCCAAUAGGAUAUGUAGUUAGACUAGAUCUAUGUAUUCAUAUCCUUACUAUAUUGGUAUUGUGUAAUUCCCUAUAUAAAGGGCUCCUAUUAAUGAAUAAGAUGAUGACUCUCUUACUAUUUCUUUGUCUCUACACUUUAUCCUUUAUCACGUUAUCAUGCACUUUGUUCUAACCCUAGAGCCAAUAGCCCACCAUUUUUUUUCUAAACCCUAAAAACCAAAACCCUAAAAUCGGGCAGCCUUGUUUUUCCCGAUUUCCGACCAAAAUUCCGACUGUCCUCCACCGGAAUUUUAUAUCCCCAGAAAGCUCUCUCCGUCUCGGAUCCAACGCCGCCGGUCUCACCCUGAGAACCGGCCGGAAAGUCUCCGAACAGGCCGCCGAAAGAUUCCAGACCGCCGCCUCUACCGACCACCGGUUCACCACCUUCCCUUACUCCGAUCAACCUGAAAUUUUGACAGCAGCUUCCCCAUCCAGAGCUGCUCCUCCUAUCAAAUUUUCAGCCCCAAUUUCGAAGUAUAAGUAGGCGAAACGUUAUUUCUCCUCUCGGAUGCCUCUAGAAAGGUAUGUUUUUUGAAACCUUAAACUUUUCCAAGUUCAAUAACUCGGGGAGGAUAAAAUCCUUUCCUCCCUUCUCCAUCUCCAUUCUAUGCUUGGGAUUUUGUGCGUGCAGGUACCCAAAUCCCAGAAUUUUAUUCGCGGGUCAAGAGUGUGUUUGAUCACUCUUGUUUCUUUGUCCGGCUUGUGUUUGAUCAACCCCAACCUUUCACCGGAUUGUGUUUGAUUAAUCUGAGGCCUUUUUCCGAAUUGUGUUUGAUCAAUUCGCGGCUUUACCGGAUUGUGUAUGAUCAAUCCGAAGGACAAACCAUUAAAAGCAUCGUUUGUGACCUCUAUCGAGUCUCAUAACAGUUUGGUUUUGUAUGCAAGAGCAAUGUAACAUUCUGCUCCUUUGAGUUUUGACGUACUAGAUGCCUAAGGCGGAUCUUCGCUUGGUUUCUGUGGAACCUUUCAUUGAAAAGGAUUAAACCACAUGUUUUGACCCCCAGGCUAACAAGCCUAGAUGCCGAGAUUUCACAUCUCAUGCGCUCAAAGUCUUUGACGCGCCACAUCGACAAAAGCCUUCAAUGGCGAUCUGUGCAAAAAGUAAUGACCAUAAAGUACUGUGGAAUGCACUCAUGGAGCGUUUCUCGAAACGUUCAUAUAACUCUACUUGUUGAGUUAUUAGUCAAGUGGAUUGCUUACCACCUUAAUUGACUACAUAUUGUCGAUGAUCUUUUGUGGCAUCAUGAUCCAUAAUCUUUAGCGGAUUCGAUCAUCCUCAAGUUCUCUAGGUCCUCCAAGUUGGUGUGGAAUUACCAACGAGACUUGAUUUUGAUCAUACAAGCAGGAAUUGUAUAUAUGCUAAUGUGAUAAACUUAUUUGGGAUUAUCCCCUAAUGUGGGGACAACAAUAUGGGUCAUGGCAACGGCAGAAAACGUCGUGCCGAUGUCUAGAAAAGAGGGGGAGGUGUUGCCGGCUCUAACAGCGACACUCCCGGUCUAGACACCAUUUUGUCAAAACUACUCACGUUAGCUCAUGACAUUAAUGCAACCGUUGUGGAUCUUCGGAUCACUGGUUCAAGAUUGUCAAGCUCCUUUAAAUUGUGAAUGCAUACAAAAAGGUAUGGAAAAUCAAUAUGAGGACAAGAACGUCAUCCUCAUGAUCGCGAAUUUCAAAGAUUCGGAUCCUGCUCUAGCUACCCAUGACUUUGAUGUCAUCGGCUAGACAUUGAUUUUCGUUCCAAGUUAUAUGUACUAAGGCGUUGUAUCGACGUCCUUUGUCUAUUUGAGACCUCGAUGUACUCACAUUAGCAAUAAUGAAUGCCUUGAGAAUUUUUCGAAGUGAAACUAUUCUCCUCUUAUGGUUCAUAUUGAUUUACAAUCAAGAUGUACACUUACAUCGUCCUUAGAAACAUGGCAUAUUGUGCCGAUUUUUGUCCCUUCCUNNNNNNNNNNNNNNNNNNNNUGCAAUGCUCAUUGCUCGUUUUAGAAAGUCCUAUUCUUUAGCUAAAUUAGGAGUAACGACCCUCCUAUGACUAAAUAACACAAAAGUGAACAUCCUAUUCUUACAUAAAAUUAUGUAGAUAGAUACAACCAACUUGCGGACACCUUUUAUGCUUUAUGGUGUUGGUUGAAGUGUUAGCACACUGGUCACGUGUUACACUAUUAUCUACUGCUUAUGCUGCUUAUACUUCUACGGGCUCACUACCCAUUCUUUAAAGAAGUUCAUCGGGAUGUAAGUUGAAGUGUCCUGUACCCCAUGUUCACACGCAAUACGGUCUCACCGAGGCUACGACCAAGCAACUUUAGCUUGUCGCUCGAACAUUAUUGAUGCGCACCACUCUUUCUAUUGCGUCUUGGGGCUAUGCAAUAUUUGCAUGCAGUUUUACUAUUCAUCUACGACCCACCAUCAUUGAAUUUUGUUGUAUUACAGCUCGUGACUGUGUACCAGGAUUGAUACGAAAUUGCAAUCCUUGAGCUCGGCAGGAUUGAAACAGAUCUCCAAUCCUUGAGCUCGGCUAGAAGUUAUUUCUAGGUGCCAAAUCGCAUUGCCACUGCGUACAAUGAUGGGUCAUUUGAGAUGAAUAAGUUUAGGUUGGAUAUGAACCUCCACCUAUAAUCCGCAUAUGUAGGAACCUUGUCAGGCGAUCUCAUUCACCGCUAAAUUACGGAUUGUCACUUUGAUGAGACAAUAUUCCCGCCUUUAGGGGGAGAUAAAAACACAAGUGUUCAAGUGGAAUGACGUGAAUUGUCGUGGUUUGUCCCCACUAAGUCUCAUCUUGAUCCCAAAUGCUUAUAGUGUUAAAGUGAUGAGAUCACAUGCUGCAAAUAUGUCUGCAAGGAUUGAUGUCCUACAAAAGGACAUGGCGCGACCAAAAAGUGUUGGUCUUGACGUCAUCACCAUGGAUGGUGAUAUGGUGACGCCAUAUAGUGGCAAAAUUGAUGUCACAAGGCCGUGUGGCUCCCUAAAAGGAGGGAGGCCCUUAGGUUCGAUAUUGUCUUGCACUAGAAAGAAAGCGAGCUUGGCACAACCUGAUCCAUUGAUCAGUGAUACUCAAAUCCGUCUCAUGAAGUCUGAAUUGUAAUUAUCGUUGGGGGACGCCUCAGUGUCAAAUCAAAUCCAUAUAGAGAUCUCUACAAGUAUUACAUUAAUGUACAUGAGGACGUGAGAUAAUAAGUCUACUAUCGAACCACCCUUUGUUGAUGGAUAUCAACUAAGUUGAUUGGCCUAAUGGAAAGAUGCGAUCCAGCAUGAACAAAGAGAUAGGUCCUUGGGCAGGUGAUGCCGACACCGCAAGCUAAACCCUAUCAACUAUACCUUUGUUAGAUAGCGUAGUGAGAACAAGAGCUUAGACUCACCUUAUGGUGCAAGGUCUCUCACUAACACGCACUGGGAUCAACUACGAUGAGAUAUGCUCUCGUAAUGGAUGUCAUUGAACUCCACUACUUUGUCAGUUUGGAAGUUUCUGAAUAACUGAACAUGCAGCCUAUGAAUGUGGUCAUAAUAACAUCUCUACGGGAUCAGAGAUAUACAUGAAGAUCUUAAACGGACUUCAUUCAUCCGAAUCAAGUGGCUCCAAACCACAGGAGCAUGCGUUUACUAAAUGUAUUGAAACGCACAUAGACUCUACUUGAUUUGGAAGGGAUAUGGUGAAUUAUGCCUUUGCGUGUUCAUUCCGGAUUUACAUGGAUUCUUGAUGGAUCAAGAGAUGCCAAUAUGUAUCAACAUCCGAAGAAAAAGAUCUUGGGAAGACAUGGUCUCGAUAAGGCACUCGAUGACUGUAUUGAUAAUGAUUUUCCAUCAAUCGGCUUAGGCGCUCUAUAACUAGUGUGGCCUACAUAUACUCCCAUGAUUAGUCAAGGUCUUUGCUCUAAAGAGAGAUCCGUUGUUUUGUCUAAAGCAAGAUGACAAAUAUGUGUUAAGAGAUGGAGUUCCCAUCUAAGUACAAUAAGACGCAUCAAUGUACUCAACACAAUAUGAAAGACUUGACAUCUCAUUCGCUAUGAAAAGUUGUAAAGCUAAGUGUAGCUAUGCGCCCAUGCAACGCCAAUGUAAUGGCAGUAACUCCUUUUUCAAUACUUCAUGGUAUGAAAGGUUGAGGCUUAUUCUAUCCCUACAUAAGAAAGACACAUCAAUAGCGAAAUCAGAAUCUGCCAAGUUUCGUAGGUCAAGUUCCACGGGACUUACAGGAAACCUCACUCACUGGAAUAUGGUAAAAUUGGUACCAUUGGAAAGGUCUAUGUGUCUACUUUCCAGAGACACCAACCAUUUGAUCAUACCUAUCAUAUUGAGUGAGUUAUGGCCGUUUUUGUAAAGUAUGACGAAUCUGUCCGAGAAUCUGAUUUUGGCAAAACAGUCAACUUCGACGGGACUUUGUGAACAGCUCCUGAUGAACCAGAAUGUGUGUAAUAUACGGUUGGAAAGCUAAAUGAGUCUAGUUUCCAAAACCGUUUACGGUUCGUUCAUAUGUAUUUCCUAGAGGAAGUUACGACUGUUCUAGUAAUUGAAGGUCAUGUUGCGCGGAAAUCUGAUUUCCUGCACGAACUUAUGUUUUGAGUUCACAAGCGACCUUCUCCUCAAGAUCUAAGUGUAAAAGAUCAUUUGAGGACAAUACGGCAUGAUUUAGUUAAUCAUUGCCCAAUGCCACAUUUGAAGACAUGUUAAAUAGCAUUGACAUGCUAAGUUUUUGAAACUUCCGUGAUUAGUAAGAAUCAGGAAGAGCCCUAUAAUUGAUGUAAAGAUCAGGGGGAGGUGCGAACUUCAGGGGGAGUCUAGCACAUACAUACAUGUCACUAUCAAAUGUGAAGGGUGCGUUGUACUCUUUUUCUCCUACGAUCAAGGUUCAGUUUUUCUCCCACAGGGUUUUUGUAACUUGACGAGGUUUUUUGACGAGGUAACAGAUCAGCACCAUCGGCAUAUCAACGCGCGGCACAAGGGGGAUGUUCUAGGAUAUUCUCUAUGUGUGCCUUGGCCUUAUGCCAAUAGGAUAUGUAGUUAGACUAGAUCUAUGUAUUCAUAUCCUUAUCAUAUUGGUAUUGUGUAAUUCCCUAUAUAAAGGACUCCUAUCAAUGAAUAAGAUGAUGACUCUCUUGCUAUCUCUUUGUCUCUACACUUUAUCCUUUAUCACUCAUUGCCUUUGCCUUUGCCUUUUUUACUUUGGCACUACAACAAGUAGGUUAUAUCUAGAGACUUUUUUAUUAUACAUAUCUGUAUAGCAUAAAUUAAGCCGUAAGCCGUCCGAUUGUCUUAAAUUUUAAAUUGUUAAAUAAUCGGACGGGUUACGACUUAAUGUAUGUCAUACAAAUGUGUAUGACAGCCGAACCCUAUAUCUAGAAGUAUCGUAUUGCAUACCAAGAUAACCAACGUACUACGUAGCCGUACUGUAAAUACGUACCCAAACGACUCGUGAUCUAGUUGACACAAGUAUGGUCUUGCUAAAAAUCACCCACACCCGACCCACAAUAAAGAUAACAUGGUUAAUUAUUGCACUCUUAACUUAGAAAUUUAAAGUUAGAUUCAUCGUUCUCAACACUACUACUAUUCCCAACGCCCAUAUUUUGCUCUAUCAUAGUUCAUACCCAACGAAUAACCUGAUUUCAUAGAAGUGCUCUAGUAUUUUUUUCUUUCCGGAAAUUAAAGGAAAAGAAAUUAAACAAAAAAGCAAAAUCUAUAAUAGGUCCCGGGGAAACGUCCACAUGUAUGCUGAUAAUUGGUCCAUCUAUAAAAUACAACCCAGCUGCAGAGAAUUCGAGAACAGCAUCUGCUUCUAAAACCCUUCAAACUAAUCUCACCGGACGGUGACUCACAGUGACAACUCGCCAUGAGCCGCUACGACAGCCGCUCCGGCGACCCCACCUCCUACCGUGACCGCAGAAGGUAGAUUCCGCAACCCCAUCUCUCUACUUUGAUUUCGUAUUGCAUCACCUUGCUUUAGGGUUUCUCUUUGAGUUUUGAUUGGAUUGGACCUAAUAUGAACAUUCAAUUCCAGCUUCACUCCCUUCAGAAUUCAAUCUUCUUAUGCUUAAUUUCACUCUUAACGACAAUUGUAUUUCAAUUCAAGGCUGAUAAGUAUGAUUUGAAUGCGUUAUAUAUGUGUAUGGAUUCUUGAAAUUGACCUGUGAUUGAAAAUUUGUUUGUUUCUGAAAUUUGUGGUGUUUUAGUGAUUCCGGGUUUGGUGGGGCGGCCGGCUACGGUGGUUCGGCCCGGUCUUCAUCCAGUAGGAAGGAUUAUGAUGGGGCUGAGUCGCCGAAGAAGCUGGAUUUGGAUGGCUUGACGCCUUUUGAGAAGAAUUUCUAUGUUGAGUCACCUGAGGUGGAAGCCAUGACUGAGAGGGAGGUUGAGGAGUACAGGAAACGGAGGGAAAUCACUGUUGAAGGCCGUGAUGUUCCUAAGCCCAUCAAGAGCUUCCGUGACAGUGGCUUUCCUGGUAUGUGUUGUUAGUUUUCGUUGGACUUUCAAUGGUUCAUUCAAAUGCAUACUCUAGUAAAGUUCCAAACCGUAGGUCUUACUCAGAAGUUUGUAAUUUUUUUUUUUAAUAUAAAGCGGAACUUAGUGUAUUUCUGUUGAGACUUGAGAGAAAUUGUGCUAUACAUUCCAAUUCUCAGUUGUUGCGGGCCAGCCAUGUUACAUCGUUAUUUUCUUCUUAACAUUAUAUUUCCUUAAUGUGAUGAAAUAUCGAUUAGUUGGCUUCUGGAUAGAUUUUACUUUCUUUGGUUCGUUAGGAUAGUUUUCUAAAUGUAAGGAAUUAGCUCUUAAUAGAGUAACUUUAGAUCAUUGCCCAGUUUUGUUGGAUGGAAGUAAUUUUGAAGGGUUGUGGUCUGAUUAUACUUGAUUAUGUGUGAUUUGCCCUUCCUUUGAAGAAAGCUUUAUGAAUUAGUGGGAGAGAAACAUUGCCAAGAGUGGGAAGGCAACUUCAUGAGAAAAUUUAGGAGUUUGAGAGAAACAAACAGGUUAAAUGAGCUUUCCGAUGUUGGGAAGGAGAAUAAGUAGGUGGGGGGCGUAAAUAAAGAGUUAGAUGCAGAAGAGAUGGAAAGAUAGGAGAGUGCUCAUAGAGUUAUAGCCGAAUUUUAAGGGGAGAUUGGAAGAGCUUUCAGAAUGAAUAUCUUGGAGGUAGAGAACUAAAUGAGUUUGGAUAAAAUAAGGGGACAGAUAAUUUUUUUUUACAGAGUUGUCAAUGGACAAAGUAAAAUGUAAACCAUAUUAAAACUAGAAAGCAGCAAUAGCAUUGUCAUGAGAAGAUGAGAUUCUGACACUGAAGGAAAUGAUCAGUUUUAAUGAAGAUUUUUUAGUUGAGAUUAAUGAACUGAAAUGGGAUUUGAAAGGCCUCAGUUGGAAUUACAAUAAUGAAGAAAAAAGUGAAGAAAGUGAAAGGCCUCAGCUCUCUGUAGUCCAACCACCUACUAUUCGUCUGUUUCUGAAUCCCCCAGUUGUCACGUUGGAUUGUUAGAUGAUACUUUCUUACGGAAGGAUAACCUCAUUAAGUGGAGCUUAAUUUCCAGAAGUCAGAAAGGAGGUUCAAAGUUCAGGAUUAUAGUGACAAGGAUUACCUCAUUGCUGGAAAGCGGCUUGGAGAAUUUUCUCGGGAAAGAGAAUCUUUGUGGCAUGUAAUAUGGUUACCAUGGAAAUGACCAUGAUAUAACCAAGUUAUUGGAUGAUCGAGUAGAACCCUUGAAGGACAUUUUUUCUGUGCUGAACCCAUUUUCUAAGUGUUUUGAGCUUGCAGUGGCAAUAAGGUAAGAGUGAGAUUUAGGGAGGACAGUUGGAUAAGAGAGCAACCUAUUAAAUCAUUUUCCAUAUUAUCAAAUUUCUGUAACACCUUGAUAAAACGUCUAGCAAUUCCAAAUGCUUACCCAGUCAUUGAAAACUUUGGCCCGGUUGGUGGCUAUGAAAGGGUGAACCCUGCAGGAGGCUUCACCAUUGGAGGCCAAACUGCUACCUCUUUCUCCUCACUGAAGUAGUGCAAAUUGAAUGGAGAGACUGAAUCAUGUUGUUGUGCACAGUGACCUUAUAUCUUAUCAUAGGCAGAAACUAUAUAGAAGGGAUGGGGUGUCUUGGGUUUCCCCAGCUUGGACUUCAAUUUUAUCUUGGUUUCAUCAAGACCGCUCUGGUUUUGGAAAGGGAAGCAGGCCAACAAUGCUCUGGGGCAGCAGGUUGUGUUAGUGGUUAUUUGGGAGUGAUAUUUGGAAAGAAAUGGAGCAAUUUUUGAAGCCUAUUUAGGUGCAGGGCUGCUUUGAAAGAGAGCAACAUUUUGAUCAGCUCUUUGGGUUUUAGUGUUUGAUUCGUUGAAUAUUUCAGCUUGUCAUGUAUUGUGCUAGAUUGGAAAUCUCGAAGGGACUCCACUUUUGUUUCGGGUGUUUUGUGGGUUUCUUGGCUCCUGCUGGGUUCUUAUUUAUUUAUUUAUUAUAUUGUUGUAAUCUGUGCUGCUUUUGCUUGAGUGUGCAGAUCUUCUCCACUUAUAUUCUAUCUUUCUUUUGUCUAAUUAAAUUGUCUCUUCUAAAAGAAAAAUGCUUUUUUGAACAUUGCUAAAGUUGUUGUAUUAAUCUCUAAUUAAAGACAUGGUUCUCUUGAUCACAGAGUAUGUCAUGCAAGAAAUCACAAAAGCUGGAUUUGUUGAACCUACACCAAUUCAAGCUCAAGGAUGGCCAAUGGCUUUGAAGGGUCGUGAUCUUAUUGGUAUUGCUGAAACAGGAUCAGGAAAGACACUGGCUUACCUGUUGCCUGCAAUUGUCCAUGUGAAUGCCCAGCCAAUUUUAUGUGAGUAUGCAAUCUUUAAAAUGAUUAAAUUCUGUGAUAAUUUCCGGAGCGUUUGAUAUAUAUUAGGCUAUUGGUACUGCAUUUGUAACUCUAUAUUGUCCAUGCAGCUCCUGGAGAUGGCCCAAUAGUAUUAGUUUUAGCUCCUACCCGUGAACUCGCUGUUCAAAUUCAACAAGAGUCAACUAAAUUUGGUGCAUCUUCCAAAAUUAAAAGCACAUGCAUCUAUGGUGGAGUUCCAAAGGGACCUCAAGUUCGUGAUCUGCAGAAAGGUAGGUGGUGGUGGUGAACUAUGUUGCCUUGUCACUAUCAUUGGCUACUCUUAACAAUGAAUUUCAUGUAUUGGAUAUUAUAUGAUAAAAAUUCUUUUAUCGGCAUUGAUAUGGGUAAGAUGAAGUUAUUGUUGUGGUUGGUAAAUUGAGUGGGAUAUCUUGUGAUAGUAAUUGCUUAGUCUUCUUGUUGAUGUCACUAAUAUUUUGGCUCAGGAGUUGAGAUUGUGAUUGCUACACCGGGAAGGCUGAUUGAUAUGUUAGAGUCACAUACUACAAACUUGCGGAGGGUCACAUAUCUUGUGUUGGAUGAGGCUGACCGGAUGCUAGAUAUGGGGUUUGAGCCUCAGAUACGAAAGAUUGUUUCUCAGGUUUGAGAUUUUACUCUUAUUUAAGUGUGACUACAAUGUUUUGUUUUUAUCUUGUGAAGAUAGUUUCAGUUAGUCUCCCUUUUGAAGUCUUUUGUUUUGCCUUUUGUUUUGGUUGUCUUUAUAACUUGCUGUAGAAAUUUGGUAUGCUGAAAAGCUGGAGACAUUAGUGUGUGAGCCUUUUGAAGAUAAGAUAAAUUCUUUAGAACUAUUAAAGUGAAGCCUUCCUUAUCGUGAUUACUUAGAGCACGGAUUUUAAACUUUUGUAUCCAGAAGUCUAGGCUUGUAAUUUGAGCUUAUUAGGUUAAAUUUGAUAUUCAAUUCAAGAUGAAAUCCUAAUCAAGUCUUGUAAGGCCAUGAAUUAAUGAUGGUGAUGAUUAAUGUCAUUAUCUUAAACUCUUAAUUAUACUACCUUUGAUAGGUAUUGUUACCGUAACCGAAGUUGAGAACUUCAGUAUUUUGUUCCUCCAAUUUUCAUGAGCAUCGGAUCAACUAUAACCAAGUAUAUACUUUAAUCUAGGAAGCGGCUUCAUCUAAAAGGUUGGGUUCAUAUUUACCUGUCAGCAUUUUUUUUUUCUUGAAGUGAAACAGCUGUUUUUGGAAACAAAAAGCAUUGUACAAGCUUUACAUAGCUAAAGAGAGGGGAGCUAGGGAUAGAAGCGUAGGAGGCGAUUUGUUAAAGCUAACUCAAAGCUUAGGGCUUUGGGGCUUAUAUUACAACUGCUUGCCAGUUGAUAAUAAUGCAAAUCCCUAAAAACCUUAGAAGUAGAAGCCCAUAACGAUGCCAAAAACUCAACUCUCUCCCACAUGUAUUCCCUCUCCGCCACACCAUAGGUUUCAAAUAAUUUUUUGUUUCUUUCCAUCCACACCAGCCAAACUAUAGCUAGCACCCCACAACCCAAAAGGAUUAUGGCCUUUUCCCCUUUACCUGUCAACAUUUAGAUUCUUAAUUUUUCAUUCUGCUUCCACAUAAGCCAAUAUACCAAUUGUUGAUAAGAGAAUUGCAUAUGAACUACUUAGGUUCUGGAUUGCCACUUGCACUUUGCUUAAGAAAAAAUGACUCUUAUACUGCCCAGUGUUAAGUGAUAUAAUUAUUACCUACUGAAGAAGCUAGGUAGGCUGAAAUAUCUAGAUAUGAAGCAUAGUGUGUAGGCAACACAUGUAGCCAGUCAUUGUAGAUCGGUUAGGACAAGGGGUGUAAGUUGCAUCCUUUAUUUUUUAUGAAAGUCAGUGACAAUGAAUUUGUUGCAUGUGUGUCGGUCUGAAGUUUAUGUUCAGUUAAAGUUGUCAUUGUUGUCUAAUAUUUUCUUUGAUACAGAUUCGCCCAGACCGUCAAACAUUAUACUGGAGUGCUACCUGGCCAAAGGAGGUUGAACAACUGGCGAGCAAGUUCCUUUACAAUGCAUACAAAGUACACUAUCUUACUGUUACUAUCAAGUGCUCUUGAUCUAUUAGGAUACUCGUAAAACUUUUACAUCAUUUCGUUGGGUUUCAGUUAUAUUUUUGGCUGAAAUUGUAGGGGCUAAAUGCCCAGUCUCUCUAUUUUAUUAUUGCAAUUGUUCUGUUGGGUUUUUACGUUUUGGAUGUUGAACAGGUAAUUAUAGGUUCUCCAGAUCUGAAAGCCAACCAUUCAAUUCGCCAAAUUGUUGACAUCAUGACUGAAAAUCAGAAAUAUAACAAGUAUGGCAUGUUCAUUGGUUUUAUACUUUCAAGUGGUCAGUCUUUCUACCAUGUGAUUUAUGUUACCUCUGUUAUUCAUUUCACUUUUUCAGAUUGGUAAAGUUGCUGGAAGAUAUAAUGGAUGGCAGCAGAAUACUGAUAUUCAUGGAUACUAAGAAAGGUUGCGAUCAGAUCACCCGGCAGCUUCGCAUGGAUGGUUGGCCCGCCCUCUCCAUUCAUGGAGACAAAAGUCAAGCAGAAAGGGAUUGGGUCCUCUCUGAGUUUAAAGCUGGCAAAAGCCCCAUAAUGACUGCAACAGAUGUUGCUGCUCGUGGUCUAGGUAUGGGAAGGAUUUCUUUUUAGCUUGUGAGAACAAUUUCCAGGAAUUCUUAUUUAGCUAUGCUCUAACAGUUGAACACAAAUUUAGCAUCUUCAAUCUCUUCUUACAGUUGAAGGCUUCAUUAGUUUGCCAAAUUUACUCUCUCUGUCUCUCUGUCUCUCUCUCUCUUUUUCAAAAUCACAUUUCUUGUUAUUAACUUGGGAAAAUGAAGGCCAUACUCAGUAAAAAGCAUUUUGCACUUUGCAGUGUCAUUUGUGUCAGCAAUGGCACCAUGGGUGAUAUUUCAUUUUGCAGUUGCUAUAUUGUAUCUUUUCUGGUCAUACUAAACUCUCUGUUCGCACUGGUUUGCUAUUUUUUAUUUAUCUGUUAUUCUUUUGUUACUUGAAUUUUGAGAAAAGAAAUUCCUUUUUCAAUUUUUUCCCUACUUCCUCACUAUAAUAUUAUGAGAUGGUGAGACCCAAGAAGAAGAAUAUUAUAUUUUCUGAGCUAUGAAGGUUAUCCACUACAUAUUUGAAGCAUCUUUAAGAAAAUUUCAGACUGUAUUGGGUCUGUUGCUGUCCCAUUGAUCAGUUCUAUGAGGAAAUUUAUCAAUAUCAAUGUACUGUAACCAUAGUUUUUAUUGUUCUUUUUCGAAAAACAAUUACCUUGUAAAUUUGGCUUGAUAUGGCUGAGUUUUGCUCAUGGGGGAAGUGCCUGCCCUCCAAGGUUGGUAAUCAUCUGUGCUCAGAAUUUGAGUAAAUAAUUGUUUCCCUUUGAGUCAGGUAAGGUUUGGCGGGCAUCGGAUUUGCCUUUGGCUUUGGUAGGAAAAACUGCUAACUUUGGGGUUCAUAGGUGUGUUGAUCUAGCAAAAUUUCUUGAAUGUAUUUAACCUAUAUGUCUACAGCUUUGUUUUUAAUAUCUUGGAGUCAUGUUUGAUUUGGUUGCAGAUGUGAAGGACGUGAAAUAUGUAAUUAAUUAUGAUUUUCCGGGAUCCCUUGAGGAUUAUGUUCAUCGCAUUGGCCGAACCGGAAGAGCUGGGGCAAAAGGAACAGCGCACACAUUCUUUACAGCUGCUAAUGCUAGAUUUGCAAAGGAACUGAUUGGCUUACUCGAAGAAGCCGGACAGAAGGUGAGUCCUGAUUUGGCAGCAAUGGGGCGUGGUGCUCCUCCUCCCCCUUCAGGUCAGUAGGUCUCGACACUAGAUAAAAUUAUUGUUGACAAUUUCUUUUGAUAAACCAUCUGUAUAGUUUUUCAAUGAAUCAACUUCCUCUGUCUUGAUUAAUCAACUUUCAAUAACCAUUUAUGUGCGACUUGUAAUUGGUCAGGUCAUGGGGGUUUUCGAGAUCGCAGUAGGGGUUAUGGUGGCGGUCGUGCUUGGAGUUGAUUAAUGAUUGUGGUUAAAGAGCAGGCAUCUGUUUAGAGUGAAAUCCAGUAACCAUAUCCUCCCACAUGCCAAUCGCAUUGUAUUAUGUUCAGAAGACAGGGAACCUUGUAUGGGUGCUGACUCGAAUGUAGACGUACAAAUAUCGUUAUUUUUUCUUUUCAAAGAAAUUUGUGCAGUGGAUUUUACCCUUUUCUAAUUGUUUAAUUACUUAUUUGCGUGGUCGAGAAUAGAGUAAAAAGUCAGAUACAAAGGAGCGUUUGCUAUGAUGAUAUAAGCCUCAUCCACUCUUGGAUCUUCAUGGAGUAAAAGCACAACUAACGUUCCUUUCUCUAAUGACUACCUCAAACCGGAAUUUUCAGAACUCAGAGAAUUCAGGGCUGCUGACCUUUUGACAUUGUGGGUGCCAUAGGAGGAGCAGCGAACUAUACGAGGUGGUUCAGGCGCUCCGCCCCGAGAGGCACAUUGUUGUGUUAAUAGCUGAGCUGACUAUAUGCCUCGUGGGAGAGGCGAGUCCCAACCUCUCCCUCUCCAAAACCCCCAUCUUCCUCCGAACCUUCGCCACCAUGGCCGCCGCGGCCGAGUUCGUCAGGGGCACCGUCCACCCAAACGGCGUCGCUUUGAUCACCCUCGAUCGCCCAAAGCUCUCAACGCCAUGAACAUAGGCCAAUUCAGCUCGAUCUGCUAAUUAAGUACGUACAAUGAUUGAGGGAGCACCGAACGAGAGCUUUAAUCGAGAAUCAAUCAAAGCUUGAAUGAAAGUAUGAAACAAACAACAAAUCUGGGUUUGGCUGAAGCCCAAAGUUAAAUUUCCUUGAAGUCUGAUUCUGUUAUCAACGACUCACCCCAAAGCACAUACACGUUCAUUCUAGAGGAAAUUACCAAAGUUAACAAUUACAUUAUGUAGCUUGCAAUACGUUUCUCAAAUUAUUAAAAAUAAACGUUUAACAACCGAUCGAUCGAUAUUAAGAGCAAAAACUAGAGCAAUUAGCAGUACAAAUCAUAAUUGUCGCAUGGCAACUAAUGUUUAACAUUAAGUGCAUGGCACUCGAUCGUAAGGGCACUGAAAUUUUAAAGGACUGGUAUAUAAUUAAUGACCCUCAAUGUAAGCUCCCAAAUCUUCUACAAUCUUGCUGCACUCCUCUGGAUUUUGAUCAUACAAACCGAUAAGGAGGGGUGUCCACAAUCUGAAAAUAGUAAUUCCAGAAUUGGAUGCCUGCAUAUUCCACACACACAUAAUAUUUCUCAGGUAGAAUAUUAGAAAUUAAGGACAUAUACAUGAUACAGUCAAUCAACAAAAAUAAUAAUAAGAAUGAAUUAAUAACCAAAAGCUAAAGCUCUCACCUCAUCUAUCUUUGCUUUGAUUACAGAAUUACCAACAUGCUGGACAUCCAUAUAUGUUACUCCCGCAAAUACUAGUCCAUUCGCAAGGGCUCCGGGGUGAUCAAAUUCCUCAAUAAUUGAAUCAAACUCAUUCGUCUGAACCUAAAAACAACCAACCGUACUAAAUAAGCAUACAUAUAUCAUGUCAUUUGCAGUCAUACAAAAGAAAAAGAAAAAAAGAAAGACUAAUUUAAAAUGCGUGAGAGAGGAGAGGGUACUAUACUGUUGGAAAAUGAUCGCUUUGCGCCCAAGCAAAUCCGCCUGGUCCAACCACCGCACCAGCAGCCAGCUUGCUGCCUGCACCCAUGAGAUGCUCUUCCACGUAAGUCUUACACAUACGAGGACUAGGAACAACAACUGCCAUUGCUGGUUGAUCUCAGAAGGAAAAAUAUUUUUAGCUAUAGUUUGGACAAUUUUUAAUGGUGUUCACUGCUAGCAUUUGCCUGUAGAGUGGUAUAUAUGUGAUGAUGUGAAUGAAAAAAAUAGGAGGUAUGUGAGGGAAAAAAGAAGAAGAGAGGUGCAUGAGUCAAAGUUUAACAAUGAAUCCAUGCACAGUUCAUGAUAGUGCAUGCAGUAGUGCAUGAUAUAGUACAUUUUAUGUGAUUGGGCCUCCUGAGGUGUAUCAACCAAAUAAAAAGCAGAACUUGGGUUACUGUGAGCAGAGGUGUUCCUCCUAGUCAUGCAAGGACAUCAUGAAACUAGAGUUAUUGUUCAAGGAUUCCAUAAUAUGAACAACCAAAACUCGAAAGAUUUUUCCUUUGCGCAAAUCGACCAACCAGGAUGGCAAUGCAAGUUAAUUUGCUCGCUCGCAGGAACUAGGAUAUCGCAUGAGAUUGAUUUGUUAGCAAAGCGGCAGUGUAUAGACUAUCAUAGUAGUAUACAUACAGUAUAUACUCAUUGUACAUACCAUUCUCUUUACCAAUUUGAUGAUGGUUAUCCUGCUGUCACACUCACAUAACAGAACAUACAGAAGAAAACUCCUAGGCGUAUUAGGAUUCAUAAUGCGACUAGGAACAAGAAAGAACUAGUAAUGCAUGCGACUAGGAGUUGUUGUGUGUGCCCCUCCUCUCAGUACUUUACUUAUAAUCAAAGGGACAACAUGAAGAGCUCAUAUCCUGCAAUACUUUAUUAGGGGACGCUCUGAAGUUUUUAUGGGAUGAUUUUGCCAACAAACUGUGUUGGAUGAUCAGACUUUAAUUCCUCUACGGACGUACGUAUAUAUUUCUUCUAUAUGUCAUAAGCUACUUGUCCUUAUCUUGAGGUUGAUUUUCCUUCACAUUCAUGAAUUCGAAGCAUCAGUUGGUGAGCUGUGAACUAACAACUUUGAGGUAAUGAGUUCAGAUCUCUGUGAGUUAUUAAUAAAUUUAUAUAAAAAAAUGAAUUUGAAACAUCAAACAUCUUAGAAAAGAUCCUAUUUUGUUUGGGCAAACUCAGUUUAGUAAUUUCUCAACAAAAAUUAAUAAAUUAGAUGGUCCGGUGAUUCCUUUAACACACAAGAAUGCAGAGGACCCAACAUGAAUUAUUGGGGAAUCACGAUGUAUGAUGUUCUAGGAGCCCCAUUUUCUAGGGGUGGGCAUAAAAAAUUGUAAUUUCGAACCCGUCCCGGGCCCGUCUCGAAAUUUGUCAGGACGGGACGAGAUUUAAAUCUCAAAACGUUAGGCCCGUUCCGUUUAUAUAUAAUGGGACAGGACAUGAGACGGAUAAUUCAAGUCCCGUUUAGGCCCGGCCUAUCCCGUCCCGUCCCGAUUAUUUUAAUGAUUGAUUUUUUAUUGAUUAAGAUGUGAUUUGAGCAUUUCAUUUAAGUGUUUUGAUUUUAGCUCUUUAUUUCUUUAAGUUACUAGGUUGUCACCAAUUCAAUAAUAGUGAUGUUUAAUACUUUAAUUUGUUGAUUGUUGUAGACUCUCUUCUUGCACCCUAGUAGUGAUGAAAAGCUUCGAGAAAGUAAGUAUAAACUCUCUUAUUACACCGUGUUGUACUUGUAAAUAUGUUACAAAUAUUUGUUAAUACAUAAUAGAGUAAAUAACGCUAUAAAACUAUGGAACUUUUUCUUUUGCUUACAAGUUUAUUUUCAACUUUUUAUAUCGGGGUUGGGCCCGUCUCGUCCUGUCCCAACCGGGAUAGGGCUUGGGUGGGAUAAAAUCUAAAAAACGUAAAACCCGUCCCGUCCUGUCCCGAUUUCAAUGUCUGGAACGGGCCGUGGGAUUAGCUCUAUCCCGUCUCAUCCUGUCCCAUGCCAGCCCUACCUGUGCUACAAUAGUACAACUACCUGACUGAAGGACGCAUCAUCAUGAUGGAGUUAUUUUGAGACACAUAUAUGGAACUACUUCCUAGUGCAGUUUCCUCGCUGUUGAAGUUUGUCAGAUCAAGCUGUGAUGCCAAACACUCUUUUAGUUCCAUCACAACGGUGCUCAUGACUGGCCUCUUACUGGGCUCUGCAGAUACACAUGCCAUUGCUGUUUCAACAGCUUUCCAGGCCGAGUUGACAUUGAAGUUUCUCUCCAACAUUGGAUCGAUGAUGCUGUAAAUGUCUCCUCGAGGAAGCAUGAGUUCAACCCAUCUAGUAAUGUGAGUUCUCUCACCAUUUGUUCUUGUGUAAACAGGUCGCCCAGUGAUAAUCUCAAGCAGCACAAUCCCAAAGCUAUAAACAUCACUCUUCUCAUUCAGCCUGUUUGAUUGAUGGUACCUUCAAGCCAACCAUACAUCUCAAGUUUAGUCAUCCUGUUUGAUACUAAUUAGCUAGAAGAGUGAAAAAGUGGAACAUCAAGAGAAAAAGAAAACUGAAGAGAUCGAAACUAUAUAUCUUACUCAGGGGCAAGGUAGCCAGGAGUACCAGCAACACCAGUAACUAUAUGAGUCCCAUCGCGAUCGCCUGGAGCGAAGUUUCUUGAUAGGCCAAAAUCAGAGAGUUUGGCUUGGAACUUUUCACUGAGUAAGAUGUUUGUUGAUUUCACAUCUCUAUGAAUCAUAGGUGGUUUACAACCGUAGUGUAGAUACUCCAAUCCUGCAAUUCAGAAUUAUGAUCUUCAAUUCUCACAAGUUAAAAAGAAAGAAUUGAAAAAAGAAAAGAAAAAAAAGAUCAAUGAUACUAGGCUAGUAUCAUUGAUCCGUUUUUAGUAUUAGUUAGCAAAAGAAUUAUGUAAAUCAGUCAGUUGCAGACCUUGUGCAGCUUCUGUUGCUAUUUGAAGUCUUCCUUCCCAAGUCAAGACAUCUGAAGUUUUAUCUACAUUCAUUCAAAUAUAUAUAAAAUUAACGUGGCACGUACGGUUAGUUAUUUGUCAUAGAAGGCAAACUUCAAGCAUAUUGUGAUGCAAGAAUAUUUAAGCAGCUAGAAGACUAAAAUAUCAAUUGCAGCCAAACCUGAGAGAUAUGCUUGUAAGUUUCCGUUGGCCAUGUACUCAUACACAAGCCCUUUGUUGAGUUCGUCAUCACAAUAUCCAACGAGGCUAGUCAAGUUUGUAUGAUGAACUCGCAUAAGAAGAUGAACCUGUAAUUAAGAGCUCAGACAUACAUUUUCCCAAUUUCACAUCUAUCUAUUCAUCACAUACUUCAUCAAAAUAUUAAUUUUCCAAAGUAGGCUUCAAUCUAGAAAUUUUGGAGAAGUGUAUAUAUGUGUAUCGCAUGAGUAUGAGGCUAGUUCGUGUUUCAGAAACUUGCCUCUGCAUGAAAUUGUUGAAGUCCUUGACUUGAUGUUUGUGAAAGCAGCUUGACAGCUACUUGAGUUUUGUCAUCAAUAUAGCCAUGAUAAACAGUUCCGAAUCCACCCUUGCCAAGAACCCUUUGUCGGUUGUUUGUGAUUUUGAGGAUCUCUGAGUAUGUAAACUUUCGGUUUUUUUGCUCGAGUUCCACUGAUCCAGGGUUGGGUUUUGGAUUCAUUGCAACUAUUAAGAUCAUCAUAAUUGCAAUUUCAAUCAAUGGGCAUGUUAUAUAUAUUUGGAAUAACUAAUAAGACCCUCAACCUUCACUAAAACCUUAUCACUUAUAUAAGCUUACCAUUUUUCCUUUUCCUUUUACAGAAACACAAGAAAACUGCUCCAGCUAAUAUGAGGGCUGAAAUUCCGGCAAUGGCUCCAAUUAUUGGAAUAAUGAUUUUGUUUUUGUUCUUCUUCGUCUUGCAAGGUUCACUUCCGGCUAGAUUUGGGUUGUCACACAAACUGACAUCAAAAUGAUUGAUAGUACGUAACAGAUUCAAUAUAUUAGACUUAGCAGUUCAAAUUCUUCAAUUAUAUUAGAUUCAUAAUUAAUUUUCCAAUAAUAUAUACGUAUUUGUACGAGAAUGAUCAUGCAUCUAACAAACAAAUAUACAUAAAAGAAAAGUGAUAAACAUGAUGAUAUAUGUAUCUGCAGCUGCAAGCAUUAAUCACUCGAAGCUGUAAAACGUAAACCGGCAAGAAAACACACCUUAUUGUUAAAAGGUCAUUGUUUAUUUUUUCAGUGAGUCCUAGGGGAAGUGAGCCUGUGAACUUGUUAUUCUCCAGGUUCCUACAAAGGUAAUUAAAUCAAGCACUAUAUAUAAAUUUAUACCAUGCAUGCUUGCAAGCGAAGGAUUAAUAUUUAUUUGCAACUUAAUUACGUCUAUUAAUUCUGAUUUGUAACUUACAGGAUAUUUAAAUCGCGCAAUUGAGACAAAAAGUCUGGAAUUGGUCCUGUCAAGUUGUUGUUUGAUAAAUCCCUGAAAUGAUUUCAUCUGUUAGCCGCGUUGAGAAAACAGAAUUUAAAAUUUUAACCUUAUGGUAUUUAUAUUGUCAUAUAUGUUGGUAAAGAUACAAAAACACGCACGCGCGCACAACACUUACAAUGUUUUUAUCAUUGCGAGAUUUGAUAUUGAAGGAGAAAUCUCUCCUGUUAAUCCACUCGAAGAUAAGUCCCUGCAGAUUGCAUGCAUGUUCGGUUACUUAUUUGAUCACUAUAUCUUGUGAACUUGAAUCUUUUGUAAUCGAACAGAGAUAUAUACUUACAAGGAAAUGAUUCUUGGGGAGUCACUUUGGAGAUAGUUACAUUUUAUGCCUUCCCACGAGUAGUUUAGUGGGAGACAUGGAUCUCCUUGCCAAUUCUUUGUAAUUUCAUAAGCUGACUUGAUGUUUAUGAUUGCUUCAACUGAUAUAUUUUGCAGUAAACAAAAGAAGUGUCACUAAAUUGAAUUCCAUAUACAUAUAUGAGAACUAAUUUUACUAUGUACUAUAAAGUCAGGUCAGGAUAUAGUGCUAAAAAUGUAAUUAAUUAAUAGGUAAUUAAUCCAUUAUCUUAAUUAAUAGGCAAUAUACUCGGGAGCUAGAAUUACUCACCAUCGUCUUGGUUUGUUUCUAGUUCUAGGAAUUCUUUGAGUGUGUAAAUCUCAAGUCCAUUGAUACUGGGUGGAAGGGUAGAGUUCUCAGCCUUGAUGAUUGAGAAGUUCUGACUUCCUCUUUGAGGUUUGGUGCUGUAAAUAGUCGUCGUGUACAAGUAACUAGCGGCGAAUGACUCCAUAUAGGGCUUUCCGUUGUUAGUAAUGUACUGCCAUCUAGACUCGUUGGCUUGGACUUCAAUUUCUGCAAAGUGCAUGUAAACGUAAUAUUUUGUAUCAUUUGCAUCAACAGGAGGAUCCCACCGUAACAUCAAGGGAUCAGUUGCAUUUUUUGCUGUGGCCGCUGUGCUCAUGACAACCGAUGCUGGUUCGUAGAGAUUGUGGCCGUCAAAGUCGACGGUGGAUGAAGUAUUCAGUGUAAACCACACAUUGUCAACAUCCUCAUAGGGAUCCCAAAAGCGAUCGUGAAUGUCCUUCGGAUACCUAGAAACAAUAGAGAUGAACAUAUAAUGGGUUCAUUAGCUUAACCUAUCCAAGAAUUUAUGCAUAGCAAGCUGAACAUAUUCGUAUUCGGACUCACCUAUAAGAUUUUAGAUCAGGUCCUGUUUGUCCAAUGUCAAGCCUCCAGUUGAGUGCCAAGGACCCAGUUUGUGUUGGAUAAGAUGUAACGGUCAACGGCCUUAAUUCUAUUGCUGAUAUAAACGGAACUCCGGAGCCAUUAUUCACCAGACAAACAUGAAUAUAAUUUUGGGGAGCGACAUGGAUGAGCUCCUUGUUUAUGACAUAGGAUUCGUUCCGCACCUUCACUGAAUCCCACAAGUUUGUUCCCAGAUAAAGGAGGAAUGUUGGUAACUUACCUUUGCCAUCAUAGUUCCCAUACACGAAGCUUACUCUGAUCAAAUAUUUGUCCCCAGUUGUAACAUUGAUCUUGUAGCAGUUCCUAAUUCCUUCAGGAAAGCUCCUAACACCCCAGUAUCGCUGUUGGUAAAAAUCUUUUACAUAACGCAGAACGAGCUUACUUUCCCCUGUGUCUACGAAGCCUGUGUCAGAAAUGUAGUUGAUUCCUGUUGUCUGUUCAGUGUAGCUGGAAUUUUCUGUUCGGCCGCAAUCUAUGCUGAUGAAGCCUGAUCAUACGAGAGAGAGAGAGAGAGAGAGAGAGAGAGAGAGAGAGAGAGAGAGAGAGAGAGAGAGAGAGAGAGAGAGAGAGAGAGAGAGAGUAGUAGUAGUAAGUAGUAAGUAAGUAAGUAAGUAAGUAAGUAAGUAAGUAAGUAAGUAANNNNNNNNNNNNNNNNNNNNGAGAGAGAGAGAACAAUAUUACUCUUGAUUCAUUAGCUUAAAAUAUGAACGAUAAAAAGGCAAAUAUAUCUAUGUGGUACCUGAUUGAUCUUCAUCCUGGGCAUGGACUAGGAGUAUAAGAGAAAGACCACCCAGCAGCGCAAAGAGGAUUUGCUUAUUCAAUCGAAGCAACAUCGUUACACUUCGGUGAUGAGGCACACAAAAGUUCUUUACGACUAAUCUUUAUAUAGGAGAAAAGUUAUAUAUACAGCCAUAUAUACACGAUCAUUUUCUGGACUCAUUCAAGCAUAGAAGAGCCGUAUGUAAUGUAUUGACUAGCUAAUAGUUGGUCUAACAAGGACAUAUCACUUGAGAAUAAUACUUGCUAUAUAUUUUCUAUAUUUUCUGAUCAUAUACCUUCCAAUUGCAUUGCUUUAUAUCACUUGGACUUGUCCAAACUCUCUCAUUUUCAAGAUUAAAAUUGUUUAGUUACAAUCACUUUUAGUUAUUGAAAUGCCAUAUUGCCAUAUUUUCAAGCUUUUAGGGACCAUUGAGUCAUGUUAAAAUGCUUCAUUCCUCUAUACCAUUAACAAUUGUUUGAGAUUUAUACUUUAGUUAGCGUUGACUGGAUCUUACCAUGAGUUUUAGAUCGAGUGCCAAACUUAAUUAUGCUAUUACCAACUUGACGACCUAUUUAUUUCAGUUCAAUGCUAACAUAAGCUUUGCUUGGUCUUGAUCACCUGGAUCAGAAUUCCAACAACAAUUUACUUUUGAAAGGGGGAAUGAGGCCCUAGACAGGUUCCUCAACCAUAUUAUUAAUAUGAUAGUCAAACAUUGGGGGGGACUUGUUGCCUAAACCCCUAUCAACAUUACAACCAUCCUCAAAGAGAACAUCCCGAAUAACAACAAUUUACUUUUUGUUCGUCUCAAUCCAUCAUUAGGUUUUUGGGGUACGUUGCUCCUAUGGGUUUCAUCAAUCGUAACGGUGAGGCUCCUCGGCUCAGGCAUGUGAUGGAGUUAAGGCCACGUCUCUCGACAUGCUUUGGUAUUUAGCAUAUUUUGUUUUGGGUGUUGCUGUUAAAACACUAUUUUACUCUAUUCACACACCUUUUUAAAUGUUUUAUUUAUUAAUUGGGGUGUGUGAAUAGAGAAAAAUGUUAUGUCAGUACUCAAUAAGACAAUCUUUCAUUAUAAAGUAACCUAAAUAAUAAAGAUAGAUGAGUGUGUGAUUAAUAAAAAUGAUGUGUUAAUAGCACCAUUUUUGGUUUUUUGCAGCCUACUUGACCUUAAUUAAUACUCACAUCAAAUAGUGGUCAGCUGAAAUUGCUUAGAAACCUUGGCUACAAUAUAUAGGGCUCGGCUAGAUCUUCAGUCUCGGUAACACCCUAGAUCUUUGGCCAAGGAUCUUUUAUUUUCAUUGUUGGUUGCGUGACUGCGUGAGUUAAGUCUAUGUCUAUCCAUCCCCAUGCUUCAUUUUUGUUCGAUUCCUUGUUAAUAUCUUUGUCAGGUAGGCCUGAUCAAAUUUUCCAAGUUACGGGGACUUUUAAAUGUAAAGUUCAUUUUCCCCGGCAUAAGAUUUUCAAGUUUUGUUAAGAAAUAUCCCGUUGGAUCUUCCAAGCAAUUAACCCCUUUAGCUUUGUUGAAAAAAACAAGCAAUACCGCAGGACCCUGCAAACAAUUUGGCAAUUUGCAGAACCCAACAUGCAGCUUUUGGGACCAAAGUCUGGAAGUAGAACUAGCUAAUUCCUGCUUGUAGAUCAAGCUGACGAGAAUGGGACAACGUGUGUAUUCAUAUUCAUUGACGUCUAGCUAGCUUUUGCAUGUUUUGUAGUAGUUAUUUUCUGCAACCCGACUUUUCUUUUGGUCAUGUGGUCGAGCUUCAUUUAAUGAAAAUGUGGAAUAAUUGACUAUUGACCCAAAUAAGAAGGCGUUUACUAAACUUUGGAUAUGAUUUAGUAGGAAAUGAUAUGGGAGAGAAAGAAUAAUUGUCACAUAAUGAGUGAUUCUCAUGUCUUGUUUACUCCUUUUUAGAGAGACUAAAAGCAAAGCAAUUACAUGAAUAUCAACGUCAUUACUGAUAAUAUCAUUGACGUCAUUAUCGUCUUUUCUACUGAAAAAACAUACUUGUAUAUAGACAUUGGAUCCAAAUAAGGUUGGCAUUUGUACCUACUGGGUAAUAACCACGGAUACUAUACACACCCAUCACCAUUCACCAAUAUGGGUAAUACCCAUUUCAUUUAGGUAAAUACCCAGAUUUAAAUUUAAUUUUCAUCUGUAAUUUUAUACCCAAACCCAUCGGGUAAUGGGUACUCAAUUACACAUUAUUUCACCCAUAUAUUGAAAUAUCUAAUGUGUUAAAUGUAGAGUGCGGCUAUCAGGACAUUCAAAUUUGUUUACUUGACCUUAUUAUAUUUUACAUUAUUAAAUGACAUAUAUAUCCUCUUACAUAAUGACUAUUAAGGACAAUAAUUACACAAAAAUAAAUAUAAUAUUUAUUCUCUUUAAACUUUCCAAUUCAAUAACAAUGAAUUGUCUUUUAUUAUUUUUCUUAUUGAUUGUCAUUUUCUAAUUUUACUCCAUAAUUAUUAUAGCAUUUACAUAUAUAUAUAUAUAUAUAUAUAUAUAUAUAUAUAUAUAUUAUAACAACUAAAACUAUGAGUAAUAUCCAUCAUGCACGUGGACAGAAAAAUUUAUGUAAUUAUGGUCAAGAAAGAAUUAUUGAAAGAACAAUAGAUGGUAAAGAGAAUGAAAAACUGUAUCUUAUUCAUUGAUGUAAUAGCCCUUAUAUAGGGAUUACAUAGCAGUGAUAACACCAUAUGGUGUUCUACAAGGAAACAUAUCUUUGAUAUCAUAUCUCUAUACGGAAUUAAGGUUUUUUAUAUGACUAGCAUAAACCAAGGCACACACAUGUAGAAUAUUCCUACAACAUGUUAUCUUAUAUAUUGUAGUGUUGCACACAUAUACGUGAAAACAUUUUUAUUUAUUUAAAUGAUCUAUAAAUUAUCAAGUUCAUGUAAAAACAGAAAAAACGUUCUCCCCAGCCGUUUGCUAGGGUUAGGGUUUUUUGGCAUUUUCGUCGAUCCGUUCAUGGAAGCGCUAGCAUGGAAUUGCUAGGGAAUCAAUAAUGAUUCUGUUGUGCAAGCUCUCUGUAGGGUGGUGCGUGAAAAGAAACGGUCGAUAGUUUUCUUGUGCGAAACCAAGAUGCAUGACAGUGUCUAUAUGGAUAAUCUUUGUUUGGAAUUGGGGAUGCUUAAUUGUGAGGCUGUGUUCUCUGAAGGUCAAUCCGGGGGAUUGGCGCUGUUCUGGAAGGAUGAGAUCCAGGUGACUUUCUUAUCUAAAUCAAAGCAUCAUAUUGGUGUGGAGAUUCUUGAGAGUGACGAAUUAGGAGUGCGUUGGAGGCUAACUGGCUUUUAUGGACAUCCUGUAACAAGCGAACGCCAUAGAACUUGGGAUCUUCUGAGGGAGCUAUGUGGUCAUUCCUCGUUACCCUGGGUGGUUUUUGGAGAUUUUAAUGAACUCUUGCUGAACUUUGAUAAGGAGGGAGGAGAGAUCCGUCGUGAAAGCCAGAUGCAGUGCUUUAGGGAUGCGCUCAGUUAUUGUGAGUUGGGAGAUUUAGAGUUCUUUGGUCCAAAGUUUACUUGGAAGGGUCCUGGAAUGCGUAGUUGUCUUGAUCGUGGAGUUGGGUCGAAGGAUUGGAUUGCAUUGUUUCCGACUUCUAGGGUUUGGAACCUUCUUCCAAUUCAUGGCGACCAUGUUCCUAUUUUGUUAGGAGUCCUGAAACAGCCGGGAAGACAGCCUGUUCAAGGUGCUAGCCGUUUUCGGUUUGAUGCUCAUUGGGUUUAGAAUGUUUCAAGCUUGGAGGCAGUUAAGGUUGGAUGGGAUAGCAGAGUUGUUGGCUACCCUAUGUUCAGGGCAGUACACAAGAUCAGAUAGACGAGAUAUUCUCUUAACGCUUGGCAGAGAGCUACCUUUGGUAAUAGAGGUCGUGAAAUUGAAGCUUUGAGGGGUAGACUCCAGGCUUUACUAUCUCUUCCUCUAACAGAUGAGUUUCAGUUGGAGCAAACGAUACUCUCGGGGAAGCUCGAUUCUUUGUUAAGUGAGGAGCAUGCUUAUUGGAAACAGCAGGCGAAAGUGAAUUGGCUUAAGGAUGGUGAUAGGAAUACUAGGUACUUUCACCGUAAGGCCUCUAAUCGGAAGAGAAAAAACAGGUUACAAGGUCUGUUUGAUGUCAAUGGGGUUUGGCAAGAUUCUGAUGUAGGUAUGGAAAAUGUGGUGGUGAGCUACUUCACACAAAUGUUCCAAGUUGCUCCGGUUGAUUAUGAUCAUAUGCGAUCGGUAGUUGAUCUCUUGUCUCCGAAAGUCACUGAAGAGAUGAAUGCAGCACUCUGUGCUGACUAUACAACGGAAGAGAUUAGGGAUGCUGUAAAACCCUAGAUUUUCGUAUCAAUUUUCCUUGUAUUAUUCCCUUAAUUAAUGAAGGAUUAUUUAUGGAAAUUCUUUGGUUAUGCGAAGUUGAAGUUUCGGGAAUUUAUUUAAGGUGCUUUGACUUUUAAGAGGCCAAAAGUUGACUUUAUUUUUUAUAAGUUAUCUUCGAAAACUUCCUUCACGGAACACGGAAGUUGUAGAGUUUGUCGAUACGAGUUCGUAGACAUACAGCACGCCUAAAACGGAUGUCGUAUGAAGAAGUUAUGGUCAGAGGAAGUUUGUUUCCGGGUUUGAAAAGAGUAUAAGUAGAAAUAUGUGUGUGGGAUGUUUUUGGGAACCCUAAAAAUAGGUCAGCCUCUCUUUUUUUCUCUCUUCCCUCUCUUUUCUCUCUUCUCUCUCUUCUCCCCCUUCCUCUCCCGAGCUCUCCCGAGCUCUCCCGAGCUCUCCCGAGAGCAUAACUUCCGCCGGAGCUAGCUCCGCCGUCCGACCGCCAAUCGGACCGCCACCGGUCCCGUUCGACUCCCACAGGUGCCCUCUUCAAGGCUGGGCAGCUGCUGCUCGGUGUGGGAUGCCGGAAACAACGCUUUCGGCCGGAAAAGGGGGCUGCUGUGCCACCGAUCAGAACCGCCUNNNNNNNNNNNNNNNNNNNNNNNNNNNNNNNNNNNNNNNNNNNNNNNNNNNNNNNNNNNNNNNNNNNNNNNNNNNNNNNNNNNNNNNNNNNNNNNNNNNNNNNNNNNNNNNNNNNNNNNNNNNNNNNNNNNNNNNNNNNNNNNNNNNNNNNNNNNNNNNNNNNNNNNNNNNNNNNNNNNNNNNNNNNNNNNNNNNNNNNNNNNNNNNNNNNNNNNNNNNNNNNNNNNNNNNNNNNNNNNNNNNNNNNNNNNNNNNNNNNNNNNNNNNNNNNNNNNNNNNNNNNNNNNNNNNNNNNNNNNNNNNNNNNNNNNNNNNNNNNNNNNNNNNNNNNNNNNNNNNNNNNNNNNNNNNNNNNNNNNNNNNNNNNNNNNNNNNNNNNNNNNNNNNNNNNNNNNNNNNNNNNNNNNNNNNNNNNNNNNNNNNNNNNNNNNNNNNNNNNNNNNNNNNNNNNNNNNNNNNNNNNNNNNNNNNNNNNNNNNNNNNNNNNNNNNNNNNNNNNNNNNNNNNNNNNNNNNNNNNNNNNNNNNNNNNNNNNNNNNNNNNNNNNNNNNNNNNNNNNNNNNNNNNNNNNNNNNNNNNNNNNNNNNNNNNNNNNNNNNNNNNNNNNNNNNNNNNNNNNNNNNNNNNNNNNNNNNNNNNNNNNNNNNNNNNNNNNNNNNNNNNNNNNNNNNNNNNNNNNNNNNNNNNNNNNNNNNNNNNNNNNNNNNNNNNNNNNNNNNNNNNNNNNNNNNNNNNNNNNNNNNNNNNNNNNNNNNNNNNNNNNNNNNNNNNNNNNNNNNNNNNNNNNNNNNNNNNNNNNNNNNNNNNNNNNNNNNNNNNNNNNNNNNNNNNNNNNNNNNNNNNNNNNUACUGCUGUGAGCUUGUUGAGUGGUAGUGUGGCUAGAUUUUAAGCAAGGUUGGCAUGUUAGGACUUAGGUUUAUUUGUGUAGGCUUGGUUGAGGUUUGAGUUAGGAUUUGAGGAUUAGAGGCAGCCAUUUUGGGUCUCUAAGUUCGACGACUUUGGAAAGUUGUCCUCCCUUGAACUAAGGGUUAGUUAAGGGUAUUGUGAUAACCUAUAGUAUUUUAGUUACUAAGGUUUUAAUUGUGCUAUUUUUUAGGUGAUUUGUGAAGUUGUGUUUGGUUUGCUUUGGUCGGUUGUGGAAUUUACAGCGGGAUAUUUAGGUGAGUAAAUCUCACCAAGGUUCACUUUUGAACCUAUUGUUAUUAUGGUCAUAUGAUAAUAAUGAUGAUAAUGUUGGAUUUAAAAAUAUGCUUUUAAUUAUUUUAAAAAUAUAUGAGCUUGAUCGUCAACGGCUCAUAGGUAAGAUAAAACAAGUUUUCUUUAAAUGCUAUUUUGAGAUUCAUGUGAUCAUAAUUUUAUUGAUUAUUGAUAGAUUAUUCUUUUGGAAUAUCUAUAAUUUGUUCAUGUAAAUAUAUCCAUGUGGAAGGAUAUAAAAUAAUGAUGUGAUAUUGUGUUGUUGUGAAUAAUGAUGUGAUAUUAUGUUGUUUAGUAUAAUGUUGUGAUAUUAUGAUUGUUGGAUAAAUAGCCAAACCGGGUUCCAAGCCUUUAAUUGGGUGAUUGGUUGCGGUUAAGAUGCUAUUUAUCACUCUUGUGUUGAUUAUUAGACAGUCAAACCGGGUUCCAAGCCUUUGGCCGGGUAAUUGGUUACGGUUAGGAAUAGAGCUCUAGUCCGUCUGUCAGUGUAGGUCAUGGGAGAUACUGUAUGGUAUUUGAGACCCAUGGGUACACAUAGUGUUGUUGUAGGUCAUGAGGGGUAUUUUAUUAAAUAUCUGGGACUCAUGGGUACAUUUCUUGGGUAAUGUGUUGGAUGUGUGGUUUUUAAUUAUUGAUCCAAUCUCUCUUGUGGAAUAUUGGAUGUGAUAAAUGUUAUGUUAUUUUUGAGUUUACUCAUACGAGCUUUUUAGCUUACCGGGUUUGUUGUUUACAACCCGGUGCACCAAUUCUUGGUGUAGAGGUUAGACCUGCAGGUGAGGAUCAGCAGGGUUAGGUGGAUGCUUAGUGGCAGGGUUUUUUUUUUUGGGUUUUUGGUUGUUCAUUGUAUAUAUUUUUUUUUAUAUAUAUAUACAUUGGGAUAGACAAUAUUAAACUCAUGUGAGAGUUUCAUUUCUUAACUCUCAAGUUUAUGUAAACAAGGAAAUGUAAUAUUUAACUCAAUUUGGAGUUGUGUGUAAAUUUACUUUCCGCAUUGAGUUAUUUUCUCCUUGAAUUUUGUUGAAACAGGUUUUGGGAUUAUAGUAUUUUAAGUUAUAUCAUGCCAAAAUUUUUGAAAAUUUCAUUUCGAAAAUUGGGGCGUGACAUAUGCACUUUUCCAGAUGUAUCCCACGAAAGCUCCGGGACCGGAUGGCAUGCCUCCUCUUUUCUUCCAACAUUAUUGGGAGAUAGUCGGUCCUGUAGUGGGGGAAGCAGUCCAAGGAUUCUUGCAUUCUGGUAAUUUGUUUAGUGUUGUUAACUAUAUAUACUCAUAUCUGCCUAAUUCCAAAAGUGAAUAACCCUAUUGUCACACCCUGACUCAUAUGUAUUUUUUUUUUUUUUUGAGUCGAAGGUGUGACUGGAAAAUAAAAAUAGGAUGGAAAAACAAAACAAGGAUAGUUUGAUGUUUCAGGAAAAUAUUCAACUGAGCUGUAACUUUGGAAAAUCAUAACUAAUUCUAGAAAACUUAUUUUCAAGAGAUUCCAGUUCUAAAACGAUCAUUAAGGUCUCUACUCUAACUUUCAUGAAGAAACCAAGUUCAAACAACUAACCAAUUUGUACAGUUUUUAGAAAGAAGGUAACUGGUCAAAAAUCUCAAAAAAUACAAAUCUGCAGAAUUUCCUGAUGCAGACCUUAAACAUUGAAAAAUCAUAACUUAAUCUACAAAAAUCGUUUUCAAGUGAUUCAAAAUCUAGAAUGAACCUUACGAUGUCUACUACAAAUCUUAUGAAGAAACCAACUUCAAAUUCCAAACAAAACUGUAUGGUUUUCAAACGAAAGCUAACUGAUGCAGAGUUUGAAGAACACUGUUUCAGAUUUGCAGGUUCUAUUCCUACUUUGAGUUUAACCUAUGAACUCUAAAUAAACAAGCUCUAAAUUAAAGAAACAAUUCGAAGAACUUGGAAUCAAGUAAAGGGCAUAGCCAAUUCAAUAAAGUUGUCAUAGAUUACAAUACAAACUUCAUUAUUCCAACUGAAAUUAAAGUAUAAACUUUAAAAGCUAACAACAUGCUGCAGCUUUUGUUCUUAUUCUAAACAGAAAUUUAAAAAGACAAGCCACACACUUUCUUCACAUUAGCACAAAGCUCUUCAACAUAGAAAUCUAAACUUCAUGUUCAAUACCUGAAAUUUUCAAUAUAGGGGUGAGCUUCAAUAGCUCAGUCUUUAUAUUACAGAAACCGAUAAUGAUAAUGCAUGCAAUGCAAUGAGCCCGUCAACAAUAACCCCUCACUCAAACCACGAUUCCCUUUUUGCUAGUCCUCUUGUUUAAUCUCGAUCACCAAAAACGUACCGCCAUAUUAGCCCACCUGAUACUUGGUCUCUAUGAAUUAAACUCAACUACACAAAAACAUUCUUCCACAAAUUCCAUUCCCAAUUUCACCGAACUUCUGCCUUAAUUUUUAUAUUUAUGAACAUGAGGAUUAACUAAGAUGAUCAAUAACAUCACAAAUAAAACUCAAUCACUAAUUUUACAAUCAAGUUUCAUAAACAAAAUCAUAUAGCAAAACAUAAGCCAAAAACACAACAAAUUGCACAGAACUUCAUUACAUAUAGCAAACCAACACAACAAAUUUCACAUAGCUUCAUCGAUCAUACAUAGCAACCCAGAAAAUCAACACAAAAUAAAUUAAAUAGAGGUUCCCCAAAUUCCCCCUGCCUCAAUUCAAAAGCUAUGCUUUUUAGAUACCCUGUUGUUCUCAAAAAAUUUCCCUUCCCUCACUAUUUCUUUUCUUUUCGUAAACACCACAUAUAGGAAACUCAAUGAAAAAUAAGAGAACCAAACCUUGGUAUUUAUACUGCUAUGCAAACAUGUCAGAAUUGGGGAUAGGAUAGAAUUGGAUGCCAACUCGAUUGAAUUGCCACCUCCUGCUUCUGGUAACUGAUUCUCCAAGGCUUCUCCUAUAACAACAACACCUCUACCUUCUAGGUUUGUGCUUAUCCUCAGUGAUUCUGAUCUCCUAGUUGGAGUGGUGCUUGCAAGAAGAAUGAGAAGAGGGGAGGAAGACAUGAAGAUAGCAGAGGAUGAUCGUGAAUGGGGUGAAGAGAGCAGAAGACGAACACAAAGAGACCAGAUGACAAAUUCAGUUCAACACACGCUUUUUGUCGUUAAACAUCCUUCCAUAAAUAUAAGUCAUCUAUUGGUCAUGGGCUUUUUCUUUAAACUGGGCUUAGGUCUAUAAAAAAAUAUUGGGCUGGUCUAAUAAAUUGAUAUUUACAUAUAUACCUAAAUAAAUAAAUAAAUAAACACUCCUACUUUGAUUUCUCCAUUUCAGAGUGCCUUUAUCCCUAGUCGGCUAAUUACUGAUAAUACUCUCAUUGCCAAUGAGGUUUCACAUUUUAUUCAUAUAGGUGGUGGUUUUGAUUCAGUUAUGUCUUUAAAGCUUGAUAUGGCCAAGGCGUAUGAUAGGAUGGAGUGGAAAUUCUUAGAAGCAGUUUUGUUGCGUUUGGGUUUUGCUUAAGCUUGGGUGCGUGUCAUUAUGCAGUGUGUGAGUACUGUGAAGUAUUCUUUUUUAAUUAAUGGUCAGGUUAGAGGCUAUCUUACACCAACUCGGGGUCUUAGACAAGGUGAUCCACUAUUUCCGUAUCUAUUUCUUCUUGGAGCUGAAGUUUUCUCUGCUUUACUCAAUCAGAAAGCCUCACAGGGUUUGUUAAAAGGUAUCAGCAUUCGUGACUCGGCUCCAGUAAUCCAUCAUCUUUUAUUUGCCGAUGAUAGUCUCUUAUUUGGUGUGGCUAAUCAUGCGGAGUGUGGUCAUAUAAAGGCAGUUCUUGCAGACUAUGAAAAAGCCUCAGGUCAGUUGGUCAAUUUCGGUAAAAGUAGUAUUGUUUUUAGUAAGAGUACUCCGGUUUCUCUACAACCUUCUAUUGCGGCAGAGUUGGGGGUAGCUGUUGUUGAUAAGCAUGAGAAAUAUUUAGGUCUUCCUACAUAUAUUGGCAGAAGUAAAACCGAAACUUUCGUUUUUAUUUAAGAACGGUUGAGUAAGAAACUGGAAGGUUGGUAAGCAAAUUGCUCAGUGGGGCUGGUAAGGAUAUACUAAUCCGUGUGGUAGCUCAGGCUCUACCUUCUUGCUCCAUGAGUUGUUUCUUACUUCCAAAGAGUUUUUGUGCUGCCUUACACCAAAAAUGCGCUAGGUUUUGGUGGGGAAGUAAACAGGAGGACUAAAAGAUUCAUUGGCUUUCGUGGGAGAAGUUGUGUAGACCUAAAGAGAAAAGGGGUAUGGGCUUUCAGGAUCUCUAUGCACAUAACAUAGCUCUGCUGGCGAAACAAGGAUGGCGUAUAUUGCAGUUUCCGGACUCAUUAGUAGCGAGGUUAUUCCGAGCCAGGUACUUUCCUUCUUCAUCUUUUUGGACUGCCAAUUCUAAUGGUGGCUCAGCUUGUUGGAAAGGGAUUGCUGAGGCAAGGUCAGUGUUGGCCCGUGGCAUGAAAUGGCAGGUAGGAGAUGGCACAAGGGUUCGUAUUUGGGAAGAUCCUUGGCUCCUAAUGUCAGGACCCACCCCGAAUUUCACCCUGAAACCCAAAGUAAAUCAUGCGGGGACCACCUCUAAGGAAAGUUUACCGAAAAUUCGGCAUAACCUCCCUUGAAAAUGGACAACCCUUCCUAAUAAUACCUACAUACACUUAUGAAAAUCCAAAUCCAACGUUAAACUCCUGGAGCCUUCGUGCUCCCCAAAUCACAACAUCUCCUAAUUUAUUUACUAACAUUAAAAAGAAAAUCUCAUAACCAACAACCACAGUUCAAAACAACUCUAUUUGAGAGGAAAUGAACUAGAAAUAUAUAUAUAUAUAUAUAUAUAUAUAUAUAUAUAUAUAUGAGUGGAAGCUAUACAUUGACUAUGCCUCAUCUUCAUGUAUGCCCGACCUCAACUAUGCAAUCCUACAAAUUGGCCAUUUUUAAAACGAAGGGAUCAGGGGAAAACAUUCGAAAACGUUAGAGUGAGUGGACAAAAGUAAAUUUAAAAGAAACAAGCAAUAAAUAUCUUUAUGCUUUCCCAAAUUAAAUUUCCAAAGAAAAGCGAAUGCAUGCCUCAAGCGAUAAACUUUCAACUCAUAAAAUAUCGAGCCUCUCAUUCUCUAAAAUAUAUGUAUGUAUUUACACACGUCCAUACUCCUUGUAUGAAUUCUUAUGAAAAGUAUGAAAAAUAAAAAUUCAUACAAGGCUAUUAUGCUCGCGUCUAAUGCUCACGUCACACCAAAAUGCAGUGAUACACUAUGCCAUUAAGGUGGACGGACGGGUGUAUAAAUAUGUGCCCAUACCCCCUAUAUGAAUUAAACACUCAUAUAGGGCUACUACGCUCGCGUCUAACGCUCACGUCACACUAUAAUGCGAUUAUAUACUACGCCAUUAAGGUGGACAGACAUAUAUGACUGGUUAGUAUUUAUAUACAUACUCUCCUCAUAAUUAUAUAUUUAUAUUCACCGAAAAAUCUCAUUUUUGGUAACUCCCCAAAAGAAAUAAAAUCGUCAAAUGCUCCAACAAAAGAAAUUGUUCAACAAUAAACCAUUGCACACAUAUUAUUUAAAACAAAAGUCAACUCACAAUUUUAGGCAUAAGCCCGACGAAAUCCAAAUCGCCACUCAAGUGAGGUCUCCUCGAAUCCUGGCACAAUAACUAUGCUUACGACCAAACUUCAAUUUCAGAAAAAAUAAUACUUAAAUAUAUAACCCAAAACUCUUCCGCCUAACCCACUGCCCUUUCUACGGUUAAGCUUAUCGGAUUCACGCCAAACUCCAACCACAACCUCAUUUUAUUUAUUUCAACAUUCUAAAACAAUAAUAAGGGAAAUCUAACGGUCAGAUUCUACCCCAUUAACCCCCAAAAUCACCAAUUUUUGAAAAAUUUCAUACAUAAUCAAAACUCCUCAAAAAAUUCCAAACUUUACAACAAUAAACUCCCCUUAAUACAACAAAUUAAAAACUUCACAGUGGCGGCGCCGCCAUCUGCCCCGCCGGCAGCGGUGGCCGGAGGCCGACUCCGGCGACCUCCAAUGUCUACCAAAUUUUAACAGUAUCUUCCUCUCAACUCACUCUACAACUUUCCUAACUAGCAUAAACACCAAUUUCAAGCCUAACUAGGCCAAUCGAACGAAAACAUUCUAAAAAACCCUAGAACUUCCAACACUCGAAUCUCUUUACCCAGGCCAAGAGAGAGCGAAUUGUUUUGAGGGAUUGAUGCACGAGAGGAGAGCUUCCAAAAGGGCCCAGCAGCUCCGGCUAUGGCGGCCGGAGGAGGGAGCUCCGACUAGAGAACCACCACGAUAGUCGAACGUUUCGGGUGAGCUAACUCCCUCACUGCGGCACUAGGGCGGCUCCCACUAGUCUAGGAAGAACGUUGGGUCGAGGGCCGACCGAUUGGGAUCGAUGCGGCGGUCUGCGGUGGCCGGACGACGGUGGACGAGCUCGGGAAUUGUUCGGUAGAGAGAGGGCUCGAGAGGAAAGAGAGAGAAAAAGAAGAGAAGAAAAGAGUUGGGCUCCCAACCGGUUCCUACCCAAACCAAAUAUAAACCCAACUCCAAAAAUAACCCCAUAAAAUAUUACCCUAAUAAAAUUUACCUUUUACUAGCUAAAAUUUACCAUUUUUACCAUCGUCACAUUUUUCUCCUGCGAAAAAUUCCUUCGAAAUAAACGUCCCCACAAACCCCUCUAGGGACCAUUUAAACUAAAACUCAUUGACAAAGAUGGUAAAACUCUUGUUAAGACCAAGUUAGUAAAUAAAGUAAAAAUUUAAGAGUCGGGAUGUAACAAAUCUCCCCUUCUUAUAAAAAUUUCGUCCUCGAAGUUUACAUACCUGUCAAUAAAAAAGGUAAGGAUAUUGCUGCCUCAUUCGUCCUCUAACAAAGACUUCAGCAUAUACAAGGCACAUGUACAAUAAUCCGGAAAACUAACAACAUUAACUAGUAUUCUUAGAUUGUCAUGCUCUACUUUUUGUGUGUUAUCUUUUCUUGGCGAAUGCUCAGCUUUCUGUUUAAAUCAAACCUUUUAGAAAAUAAGUUUUGCCCAUCUGACCCAAUCCCCGUUUCAUUUCUCAAAAAAUUGUUCCUACAAAUUUUCAAAACAUUUUAGAUCUACCUCUUUUCAUGUAAAAUCCAAUGAACAUCAUGAUAUAAGCUCGAAAUUUGAUCUAGAUACUACAACAUAGAAACUUGUCCCAACUUAGAUCAUCCUCACUACAAAUAUCAUGGUUAAACUCGUAAUUAUCUGAUCCCCAACAUUCACAAACCUUAAUCAAAACUCAAAACUAAACAAAAGUACUUAAAUUUCACCCAAAAAAAAAUCAGAUUGUGAGCGUGACUAGUACUGACUAUGAACCGAUUCCACGGCCACUCAGUGCCGUCGUCCCUUGAGAUCUUCGGUCCCGCAAUUCUCCAAUAAUGCGAACUGACGGCGUCAGAAUCAGAGGCGGAAGAAGUGGUUGAUAUAUGAUCGGCGAUGUCGAACGGCCUAGCAGAGCUCUGAGGGUUUCUGAUAAAGCAUGAGUUACAGGUAAUUCUGAUUAACAACAAACUGUGUAUAAUCCACAGGCUUCAAAAACAAACCCACAAAAUUCCAAAACAAUAAACCAAUGCCAAUUUCAUUCCUCUCUAAAAAAAAGAAAAGAUAAUUCCAAUUUCAUUCUUCUCUCAGAAAAAUUAAUUCCAAUUUUGUUUUCAUUUUCUUUACUGCGCGUGUGGCGCGUAUUCGAGGACUAUGUGUCCCCGGUAUCAUGGGAUCCCUCACGAAACAUCAUCGUAUGGCCCAAACUAUUUUCCUUUAUAAGGUUGAAGUCGCUUAAGUCUUUCCCUCCCUCCCUCUUCGAAAAUUUCGGUGCUCUGUUUCCUCGCUGGGAAUCCAAGAUGGCCGAAAUCCAAGACUUGGAGUGUAGCUUCUACCUUGAAUCUUUUAGGGUCAAGGAUAUCGUCUUGGAGUUUUGCCAGGCACCCCAUCGGUACCACUUCGACUGUCUGCACAACGGCUACGCUCCCGUAGCAAUGAAAAAUACGGUGGCUGGGAAUCGCAUCAGGUGCCCUCUCUGCAGUCAAAGUCGGCCACUGAGCGAUUCCGUUACGUUGUUCGUUCUUGAAGAUAGAUUGGUGCCGGCGACGGAGUUCCCCGACUGGGAAUGGUGGCUUCCGACGAUGCCGCCCACCCCACCAAUGCUUCCUUACAAUCAUGUUAAUCUUGAAUUUGAGGCCAACCUCAUUCCGGCAGAGGUGAUUGACUUUGGCUUAGAGCUUCUGUUCGGAACCAAAGAAGAAGAGGAAGAGCCGCUGCCGGAGGCGCCGACUGUGGAGGAGAAUGGUGCCGCGGCGGAGGGGGAUGGUCUCAUUGGUCUCUAUCGGGAUCCUGAAUUUCUAGAUCCGAUAGAUAUUUUCUUGGAACCUGGCGUGGUGGGAGUGAUCCCGAACGAGUUUCCACCGGCUUAUUCUUUAAAUGAUGAGCAAGAGUCCGAUGUGGAUGAUCAAUCGGACGUUGAAGACUCCGAUGAGUCUGUGCAGCACGGUUAGCAGACGUCAUCAUAUACCCCAGCCGUCGAGAGAGUGAAGCUCAUCAGAAUGUAUAUAGUGAUAAUCUUAAUUCGUUUCCCUAUUUGAUUUCAAUAAUGUGAGCCAUAAUGUCUAGAGGUUCCUAAUUGAAGCAAUUCUGUAAAUCUAUUUGUACCAAAGCACCAAAUGCGAAUUUCAAAGAUUUACGAAUUGAACCUAUCAGGUGAUCACCUGUUGAUUAGAAUUGUUACAUUUUUGGAUAAUAUGUAUAUUCAUCUCCAUUUUACAGUAUUUUCGAUAGUGUUACAUUAUUUUUUUUUUUGUGUGAGAGCAUUCCAUAGUGUUACAUUAAUUAAUGAUCGUUUGGAAGAGGCAUUUGUGGGGGGUUUUUCAUUUCUAGCUGUUCUAAUCAACCUUACCUCCAUACAAUACCCUUGUUGAAUGUAAUGGGAUGUCCAUAAAAAAAAGAGAAAAAAAAAAGCUAUGUACCUUCGUAGAUAGGCCUGGCAAUUUGGCCCGCAGGCCGCAAGCCUGCCUGAAACCUGCCUGAACCAGCCCGUUUUACAAAACGUGUUAAAAAAACCCGCCCGCCAGAAACCCGCUAGAAACCCGCCAAUUAACGGGUGGUGCGGGCUGAGCCUGUUGGAGCCCGUUGAAACCCGUUAAGCAAUAAAAUUCAUAAAACAAUAUCAUCGUCAUUUUCGCUCUCCACCUCUGCUACCUUCAGCGGGGCUGCGGCAACGUUGAGUUCGAUGUGGUGAGGGGAGAGGCUAGGGUGGACGGGGUGGAGGAGGAGCUUGGCAAAGACCUCGUCAGUGCUGGGAUUGGCAAGGAAGUUGACGACAGGGAUACGACAAAGAAUGAGAGGCUUGGAGAGGACUUGAGGAAAGAGAAGAACAUGAGAUGAACCGGAGGUGUAGUGUUCGAGGUGGCCCUGGGGGAAGUAGUAAACCCUAGAAUGGAGAGCUGGGAUGGUGACGGAGUUGCCUGCGCAGGCUCGCCAGAUUUUGGGGUCGAUGGAGAUGAGCUGCGGUUGAGGUUGUGGCGGCGCGUGGGAGUGAGAGUGAGAGCGUGAGCAAGUGUGACGCUGAGAAUUAGGAGACAUGGUGGUGGUUAGAAGAAUUGGAUUUCUGGUUUGAGAAUCAGGCCUUUGGAAAUGAUAGGUAUGGCAUCUAUGGGCGGUUUUAAGGAAGAACAAGUUGGAUAUUCAUGUUUUGAAAAAAAAAAAAUAUUCUUCUCAAGUUCAAGGUGGGUUUGGGAAAAAAAAAUCACGGGCUUAGCGGGUUCCAAUGGGUUCUCCAAUGGGUUCCAACGAAAACCCGCAAACUUGUCAGGCUCGGCUUGGUUUGACUCAUUAGCUAACGGGUUUUUAACGGGUUUAACCCCUUAAGAGCCCGUCCUGUUAAGAACCCGCACGAGUCCGCAUGGGUCCGGCCCGUUGCUAGGCCUAUUCGUAGAUAUGUACAUUUGAUAGAGCUUAGAAAACCCUAUUCUCCUAUUCUCUCUCUCAAAACAUAAGAGCGGCGGUUCAUCUCAUCCAGUAGUCCUCGUCCGGUAGCGCCAGGGGCAGGCCUUCGGCUUUGCUUCCUAUGAUUGCUGCUGGAUGGGAGUAUCAGUGUUAUUGUCUUUGGGCUCGUCCGAGUUUGGGCUCUAAACGCAGGGCUUAGAAGGAUCAGAUUUGGCUAUGUUAGAGGACGACGACAAAGGUACGAUUUCGUGAUGGCAAUCACCCUUUAUUGCAGAUUCUUGCUUGAAGGCUGUUGACAUUUUCAUGCGGCGCAAACGAUGAUGGAAGAACCUGUUAAGGUUGAUCUCCAUGGUGGCUUAGAUUUACGGUGACGUGGCUUGCUAUGGGAGAUGGUGUUGAGGAUCGGGUCGAGUUGUCGGGUUUUGCCGGCGGGAUCGUACACGGGCAGAAACGGUUUUGGUGGAUUUGGUCCAGAUCUACUUGAUGGCCUUGUGUUAUUGGGCCUUCGUGGACCGUCUUUGGGUCACUAUUUAGUAGUAGUUAGAUUAGUUAGGGUUUAUGUUUUUUAUUUCCUUUAGGUCUUGUUCCUUUAGGAUACUAUCGCACGUCUUUGUGUUUAUAUGUCCUAUGGACUUUAGUGAAUACGAUUAAUGAGUAGUCUAUCUAGGCUCACAACUACUUGUCUAUCUGUAGAUGGUAGCAGUACGUAGAGUAUAUAAUGGCUGCUUCUGGCCUUCGAGAAAUCAAUAUAUCUAGUCGCAUUUGAUUUUUAUCAAAAAAAAAAUGUACAUUUGAUAGAAUGAACCAAAAAAAAUAAUGAUAAUAAUAUUUACUUGAUUAAUAAAUUUAAUAUUCUCUUUCUAAGUACAAUACUAACUUGAUAAAACAUGGGAGGAGUUUUUGGUUUGGUGGAGAUAUUGUUUGGUCUCUAAGUUUAUGGCGACGAUGAAGUUUUCUUCUCCCAGGGUGUGUUUGUGGGUGCGCGGAACAAGGCGGCGAUGUCUCUCGAAGGCAACAUCAUCUCACGGCGGUGACCGCUAGAGUGUUCUCCUUUCAUGUCCUUCUUGCUACUAUAAAGGAAAGUUGGGCUAGGCCAAUUGUUUUGGGUUUAGGUUUAAUUUCUUUUUGGGCUUUGGGCUGUUUUUUUUUAUCUUUUAUAGUUUUCUAUUAAAAUAAGUUCCUUUCAUUAGAACUCUAAGCACUUUUGUGCCUAAGUAUUUUUUUGUGUCUCAUGACGUCCUGGAGUUAUGAGUCUAUUUAUUUAUUAAUCUUUUUAUAGUUUUCUAGGUGGGAUCUUAGCCUAUAAUCUAUUUUCUAUUAGAUUGUAGGCUCAUUUGUGAGCCUAAAUGUAAAUAAGAAUACAACCCUCAUACGAAUUUUAUGAUUUUGUUUGUCCUAUGUACGCAUGGAAGCAGAUCGAUUUGUAUUGUACCAUUUACUUGAAUACUAAUUACUGUUGUAAAAUAAAAGGAAUAGAUUGAGAAAGGAGAGAAACAACUAAGAGAAUGAGAGAAUAUAUGUGUAUUAUUGAGUAGGGAAUCAUCUCUUAUAUAGAGAUGUAAUCAGUAUGUAAAUUACAUGAAUAUCCCUAGUAAGCUAAUUACAAGAGUGCCCAUUAAAUAAACUAAUUACAACACUCCCCCUUGGGUAUUCUAUGUUUUUAGCUUCCUCUGAUAUGUGCUCCAGUGUUGCCUCGUCAAAACCUUGCCAGGUAAUAAAAAACCCUAUGGGACAAAAACAAUCCUCUUCGAAGGAGAAAAGAGUACAACACACAAGUAGCAGUGGCAAUCAGAACCCUUGAUUUCGGUGAAGCGGUUUAGUCUAGAUCAUAAGAUGUGAGUCCGUGGGAGAUAGAUGCAUAAUAGUUGCUACACCAAAACCUUGUCCGGUAAACCCAGUGGGACAAACCCAUGGUCCAAGGGAAAAGAUGAGCCAAUGCAUAUAUGUUGAAUAAAUGUAUCUUCAAGAUGCAGCAUGAGCAAGGUGAUUAAUUACAUGUGUGCCUCAUUAAAACCUUGCCAGGUAACAAAACCCAGUGGGACAAAAUAACCCUGGACGAAGGACAAAAGAGUACACAAUGGUCAAGAGUCUGCUUUAGAAUACUCUUCUUGAUAUUGACUCCCCCUGAAAACUCUAAGAUUAUUGUAUUCUCUAUAGUAAAGACAUAACCAGUUAGGAAUAAGCCUUGUGUGGGUUUACAUAACCCGUGUCAACAUAUUUAACAAGACAAACAUCAUUCCAAGGAUCAUAGGCGGUUGAUCUAUUCCAUGAUGCCUAUGGAUAGAACGAGCCAUUUUUCGUUAUACAUUUAAAGUAACGGAAAAUUAUCUUUUAUUCUAUUUUACGGAGGCGGCGUGUUGGCGCAGAGUUAUAUCUAGCUAACAAAUUCAUAUCGGGUGAGAUGUCCAGUCUAGGGCAUUUAGCCAAAUACAAUAAUGCCCAUAUUGUACUUAGAUACCAGUCUUCUGGUCCCAAUAUCUCUUCAUUAUCAUCUACACGAUGAUACAGGUCUCACUAGACUUCAGACGAUUAUGAGUGAUCUUGAAGACUUUGCUUUAUCCUCAUUAAAACAUCUUAACAUCUUCUAGAUGUAAUUUGAUUGAUGGACCAAAAUUCCAUUUGCACUUUGCAUUGCACGACUCCAGGUCGAGAAAAUGAUUUGGUCUCUGAAAGUCUUUAUCUCAAACUCCAUCUUCAGGCGUUUUGUGGUUUUCUUGAUCUCUUCAAGAGUAUCAAUCAAAUCCAUGUUAUUGACGUAGAUCACCAAAAAAUUGCAAACCCGAAGUUUGUUUUCUUAAUAAACACGCAUGGGCAUAGUUUAUUGCUCAUAUAUCUCAUCCCAAACAAAUAUUCACUUAGACGGUUAUACCAACUCCGUCUGGAUUGUUUGAACCCUUAAAGUGAACUACUCUAGCAAAUGGAGAGCAUGUUCUGUGGUCUAGAACUAUUUGCUUUGGGUAACAGAUGUCCUUCAGGAAACUUCAUGUAUAUCUCUAUAUUCAGAUCCCCAUAGAGAUAAGUUGUUACCACAUUCAUAGGCUGCUUAUUCAGUUAUUGGAAACUACCAAACUGAUAAGGUAGUGGAACAUUAUGACGUCCAUUACGGGAAAGUACGCCUCCUUGUACUCAAUCGUAGGGCGUUGAGAAAAUCCUUGCACCACUAAACGAGACUUAUAUCACAAUCUCGUUUUUCUCAUUAUGCUUCGUUACAAAUACUUAUCUAAACAAUAUAAGUUUAACAUUGGUAGGUGUGGGAACAACAGGCCCAUAACACCUUUCUCUUAGUUAAAGAAUAUGAUUUGACCUGGAUUGUUUCUUUCCUUUUUAGCCAGUCAUCUCUUCGUUGAGAUCUAUCAAUGAAGCAAGGUUCGACAUCAUCGCUUAUUAUAAAUUCGGUGGCCACCGCAAAUACAAACAUAUCAUUGAUAAACUCUCAUUCCGAUUCAAUAUCUCACAAAAUUUACCGAGAUUUUCUAUUCUUGGGAGUGGGUUUAAAUGUUGGAGCGUCCCCCAACUUCGUCUCUUUUAGGAUGAACUCAUAAUCCGGAUUUAUCUCGUGAGUUGAAUUGGUUUAAGAUUUCGAUGGCAAGAAGAUUCAUUUGUGCCAAGAUUACCCUCUUCUAGGGAUAAAAAUCGUUCAAACCUAAUGGUCUACCUCGCUUCUAGGCAGGGACUAUGACUGGUUAGCCGCCAUGGCCGUACCUCAUCCAACUAGGACGAUACGUCCUAUGGGGACAUUUAUCCGAUCCUUGCAGGUUUGCAGCAGGUAUAUAUGAUCUCGUCACUUAAACUAGAUCUAGUGAAGUGUCUAGCAUAUUAUGGGCUACACUACGUAAAUCUAGGAUUCUUUGCACUUCAACUAGAAGUAGAAUUCUUCGCACUUCAAUUUCAGAUGUGCGGUUUGGGGAUCAAGAUGAGAUAUUCUACACGUCGUUCAUCAGGAACGCUCACAUUCUUAUCUCCCCCUAAUGACGGGAAUGUUGUCUCAUCAAAGUGACGACCGCAAAUCUAACGGUAUAGAGAUCUCCUGUCAAGGGCUAUAAGGAGCACAUAGUGGAUAGGGUUCAUAAUCGACAUAUAUGCCCAUCCUUUGUUGAGGACCUGAUUUUGUACGUUGUGGUAGCACAAUUGUCACGGAGACUACAAACCCAAAUGCGUGUAAGUGCAAAAACAUCAGGUUCACACUCAGUCACCAACUAUAACACGAAGUAAGACGGGUAGCAGUGGGCCUCAACUGGACCGACAUGGCUGCAUGCAAGAUUGCAUAGCCCGACGCAAAUAGUAGAAGCUUGGUGCGCAUUACCAAUGUUCUAUAUGAGAGACCAUCUUAGGUUUGAACAUAGGAAACUAUAUGUUUUACAAAACCCAAGGGAUAUGCAAUAAUCAUCGAAAACCUUCGAUGUAAACUCUUCGGCAUUAUCAUGUCUUAUAGACUUUAUAGGAUAAUCCAAGUGGUGUACCCUCUAUUUCAUGGGUGAGAGUUUAGCAAACGCAACAUUUUCAUGUGGACAAUAGUGUGACAUCUGAUCACUUUUGUCGAUGCAUCAACCAAAACCAUUAAUAUUUAACUGGUCCGUAUGAUGGUUGGAUAGGUUCAUGUAUUUUCCCUUGCAUUCUGUGCAUAAAGAGAUAGUAUAUAUUCUAGUAUUUGCAUGUGAUGGUCUAGUAUUCAACAUUCUUAACGAGCAGCUUGACAUAAUAUGUCAUUAAAGACAAGACCCUUAUUCUGAGGGGGAUGCCCGUGUGAUAAUUGAGUUGAGGAUGCGGUGCAUCACAUGUUUUUCUUGGGUGCAUCAAACACCAAUACUAUAGCUAGUAUUUGCUCGAAUCAUUUAGUUGCUAGCUAAUAAAUUUGAAUAUAUUCAAUGUACGCUUUUGGCCGCACAUUCGAAGGUUAUGCAAAUAUAUUACACCAUUUCUCUGGUGGUUUCAACGUUUAAGUAUUGGUUUCAAUGAACUUAACUUUCGAUAACGUUCUUUUGAAACGUAGAGAUAUUUUGCCUCGUCAGCCAGACGAGAAUUCUCAGUUCCUUAAUAUUGAUAACACAUCAAUUUUGAUUUAGAUUCUAGGGCUUUAAGCCUUUUCAUUUCAAUAUUCUCUAAUUAUGAUUUGCUUCAGGCAAGGAAGAUGUCUACUUCAAAUAGUUUCUUCUGGAGACUACCAAUUAACAUGAUAAAAGCUACCGAUGUUAUCAUGUCUGGUGAAUUUUGGAAUGAAACUUCAAGUUUCUUAAGGGGGUUAUUAUCGAAACUACAUGUUCGAUUUAUACAUGAACUACUUGUUCAUUUCUGAACUUCUGGUUCAUUUUUGAACUACCGAUUCAUUAGGUACAUAUAUUUUCAAAUUAUAAUCAUGUAGCAAUUGAUGAUAUUAAUUUCAUUCUACUAAUUUAGCAUAGUGAAUAUGUCACGUAACUCUAUGUAAAUGCUUCUGGCAAUUAACUACACAUUAAAUAUGGUGAAUAUAUUAACAACAGCCAUUAUGAGAAAGAAUUUGGAGAGUCUUAUAGACAUACAUAAUGACUAGGUACGAAAAACCUGAGUCAUUAGAUUAUUUUCCUUUUAUUUGAUUCUGUUGGACUAAAGGAAUUAACUGUAAUUAAAGUGAAAUAAAUAAACCUAGCCUCUACAUACUUUACAAGCCUACGGGGCACAAUCUGAGAGGUAUGUUGGGCUUCUAGGUCUCAUAGAGGGAGAGUGGGCCUACUGGGCACAAAAUGGUCUGCCAAGAAAUGCAAUGUUAUUAGUCAACUUUUUUGGUAACUCCAAUUGUAUACGACCAGGUAAGCAAUGAUGAGGUGGUGGAGCGAGGCUCACUUAAGUACACAGCCUCAAAAGAAUUUGCCUAGAUAUCGCAUCCAACUGGAUGAGCCUAGUUUAAGAAGAAUUAUAUUCAUUGUAUGGACUCAUGGCGACACAUGGCGAGAUUUUGUGGUAGCCUUGCAGCUUACGUUGAGUUUUUGACUCAAUUUUGUAUAUAUUCAGGCUUGUUUUAAGCUUCUGACUUAACAUGAUUAAUAUUCACCAAUAUAACAUAAACCAAUGCAAUAUAUGUUAUUAAAUCGUAACAUAUAAACUUAAUGUGAAAGUAAUUAUAUGAAACCGAAAUAAAUUAAAUUAUAACGGAAACAAUUUAAUUCACAUCGACAUAAUUAUAUGAAUAAAAUUGGUAUUUACUUAACCAAUAAAUAUUAAUAACGUAGCGGUUACUUGCAAAACUAACUCAUUUGCAUCACCAAUUGCUUCUGGCAUUAAUGUGUUAUUACAUACUCAUAAUGAUUAUCGAUAUAAAUGAUAACAUAAUUGAUAACUAAUUGAAUAAAACUGACACGAUUUGAAUUUGGUAACCGACAUUAAAUAUAUGGCAUAAAUUACUAAAUAAAUAUCGUUUAUGCAGCGGUUAAGUACCAAAUGCAAUGAGUUCAAAUCUCAUUAAUGCUUCUAGCAUUACACAUAAGUAUUAAAUUAGAUAAAUGCUUCUGGCAUAACGUUUAUGUAACAAUCGCGUAAUUAAAACUCAAAAUUCAUGCUUCUAGCACAAUGGAUUAUAAUGACAUUAUUCAAAUUGGUGUAACCAUAACGUUUCUAUCAUAAAUUGUGCAAUAAUUUGGCCCAUAAUACUUGUACCAUAAUGUAUGGGUUAUAACUUGGUAAAUGCUUCUAGCAUUAAUUACAUGCCCUUAAAUGACAUUGAAUUUGACACAAUUCAAAUCAGUAACCGACAAAACGUAUAUGUUAAUUUAUACAUAAAUAACAUAAUCAGUUUUAUGCGUCAUUAUUCAAAUGACGUUACAUUUCUAAACGGAUUUUAUUCAAACCCCAUUAAGAGCAAUAUUAAUUCAUUUGUAUUACUAAAUGACAUUAAAUGCUUCGAGCACAAUGGAUAUUCCAUACUUGUAACAUUUCUUACCAAUUACCAAAUUAAUGGUACUACCAUGGUGCAUUGUUACGAGCAUUACGUUCGGAAUGCAUGAGGAUUAAAGUUUAGAUAUCAUGACUCAUGAGCGACAAAACUUUUGCGCUGAUCCAUUUUGCCUUCUUGUCUGCACUACUAGGCAAGCAGGUGGCGAUGACUAAUUCUAAUGGCUACUGGCCGCUCCAGUGAUUUACGAUGUCUCCGUUAUCACUCACAAAAUAUGAACAAGUUUAUAUUAGAGAUCUAUAUGUAUCAACCAAAUAAACUAAUAAAAUAAAUUUGGUGUUCAUGCGUUGUAGGCAGAUCUUUCAAUAUGCAACCAAAGGAAAUGGGUUCAUGCUUCAUGGUGAUUUGUUCAUCAUAUAAUCAAGGCUAGCAAAUAUGAAUUAGAAUUAAGAUAAGAAAACGUUACUCAUUGCAGAACGGAUAAUCUCCAUCUUUUAUGUGUAGAACUGUGAAGGCCAUUUGUGGAGCUACUCAGCCAAUCUAAGAACUGUCCAUGGUUGAUCACCGAUUUCAGAGCUUUCCAUGUCAACGUAGAGCGAAUUCGAUGAAUCAAAUUGAAAGAUCAUCCUUUGCUUUUAGAGCUUCACAUGCAACAGAAAACAAUAUAAUGUUAGAACUAUUCGUGCUGAUAACGUGUUGUAAAAUAAAAGGAAUAGAUUGAGAAAGGAGAGAAACAACCAAGAGAAUGAGAGAAUAUGUGUGUAUUAUUGAGUAGGGAAUCAUCUCUUAUACAGAGAUGUAAUCAGUAUGUAAAUUACAUGAAUAUCCCUAGUAAGCUAAUUACAAGAAUGACCAUUAAAUAAAUUAUUUACAACAAUGACAAAAUUAUUUUUGAGUUCAAAAAACUAACUUGAUAAAACAAAAAACAAGAAAAAAAGUAAUAAUACUAACAAUUAAUGGUCGAAAAACAAUAAGAGCUAGCCUUGCAUAACAACCGUCACAUAGAUGUUCAAUUGCUCAUAGAAAUAACAGAGUGGAUUGAUGUACUUGAGUGGAUUAAUCCAUCUUCAUGCAAGUUCUCCCCUAUUGCACGAUCCGGAAUAAUAACUGAAGAAAGACUCUCUUCAUAGAUACCAACACUACAAAAACUACCAGCUUUGUCAACAUCCUUGAUUGAUAAAGUCCAAAAUUCCCCAUCAAAAUUGUACAUAACUAACAAUGAUUCGUCAAACACCAUCAAAUCAUAAGACCCUCUCCAAAAUGCAGAAUGUGAUAACUCGUGAUAUGGAAUAGAGACUCUCAUUUUGGUCCACAACUCUCUCACUCCGUAUUCCUUCAUGACCCAAAACUCAUUAUAUGUUUUUACCUUCGUCAAUAGUGAUGCAAAUGUUAUAGAUAGCUGGUCUCUAAAAACCCGUAGUCCAAUUGAUCGAGUAUCACCAAUUAAUGACGGUAAUGGAAUUAGUCUAGACUCUAGACCACUAGUAGAGAAAAAGGCUUAAGCGACGGGUACUUUCACAUUUCGUCUCUUAGGGUCACUUAAGCAAUUCCUAACUGACAAAAACCAAUAUCGUCCAUGAAGAUACACUUUUCGUCGCUACAGUUUUCUAAGGCGACGAAAUAUUUUUGUCGCCUGAACUUCGUCACCACAGGUCCUAUUAAGGCGACAACAAGGAUUUUGUCGCAAAUUAUUUAUGUAGCGAUGAAUUAGUUAACACUUAAGCGUCGAAUAAUUUUGUCGCAUAAGAUCCUUAACCUAACCGACAAAUUUACAUUUUGUCGCUUUAGUUUUAGACUAAAGUGACGGAACUUUUCACUCUUGAGCGACGAAAAUUUUUGUCGCAUGAUAUCCUUCACCUAAUUGACAAAUUUAAUUUUCGUUGUCUUAGGUUAACACUAAACCAACGAAACGUUUGACCUUCGAGCGACGAAAUUGUUCCUCGCAUUAUAUCCUUCACCUAACCGACGAAUUGACUUCAUCGUGUUAGGUUAAGACUAAAGAUACGGAACUUUAAGUUUAGAGCGACGAAAGUGGUUGUCGCAUAAUAUCAUUAACCUAAGCGACGAAACUGUUUAACUUUAGCGACGAAAUAUUUUGUCGCUUAAGUGAAAUCUUCUUUAUAUCCUCUGCAUCACUUCCAAAUCGAAAAAACNNNNNNNNNNNNNNNNNNNNAUAUAUAUAUAUAUAUAUAUAUAUAUAUAUAUAUAUAUAUAGGAAGCAAUAUUUUCAAAAAUCUUGUGAAAUAGGAUGUGAUCGGUAUGAUGAAAUACGGCUUUGGUUGAAAAUCACAUAUUUUUGAUAACGUUUGGUCCUCGAUAUAAGCGGUCAACCCUAUUUACGCUUAUGCUUCCCUAUGGGGAGCCUUAUCGUCGGGAGGUGAAUGUCCCUAAAUUUUUACAUAAGUGGUUAGAUCUCAUCAAUGUGAGAGUUUUAUGUGUGGAAGAAUCAACCAAACUAGGCCAUAUAAGGGUAUGUAAGAGCGUUUUUGUGUAAUAAGUGGCGUUGGUUUAGAUUUGACCUUGUGGAUCAAGACUCAAACUUUAUCGAAAACAUGUGAAUUUUUUUUCAUAGCCGUAUUUAAGUAUACUGAUCAUAUCAUACGGUUAAAUUUUUAUUUUUUGAAAUUUAGCCAUCGGAACCAUAAUAUGCCUACUAAUGUGAUAUAAUUUGUUUAGUAGGUUAUAUGCAAGUGUACAUCUUUGUGAACCAACUAUAUAUAUGAAGUAAUAUUUUCAAAAAUCUUGUGAAAUAGGAUGUGAUCUGUACGGUGAAAUACGGCUAUGGUUGAAAAAUCACAUAUAUAUUUCCGGUAAAUUUUGGUCCAAAUAGAUGCAGUCAACCCUCUUUACGUUUAUGCUUCCUUAUGGGGAGCCUUAUCGUCCGGAGGUGAACAUUCCUAAAUUUGUACAUGGGUGGUUAGAUCUCAUUAAUGUGAGAGUUUUAUGUGUGGAAGAAUCAACCAAACUAGGCUAUAUAAGGGUAGGUAAGAGCGUUUUUAUAUAAUAAAUGGUGUUGGUUUAUGUUUGACCAUGUGAAUCAAGACCCAAACUUUAAUGAAAACAUGUGAAUUUUUUUCCAUAGCCGUAUUUAAGUAUAUCGAUCAUAUCAUACGAUUAAAUUUUCAUUUUGUACUUCUUUUAUUUUUUACUUCUUCAAGCUUCAAUAUGUUUAGUUCACAUACCACUUUAGUCGACAAUAUUUUUUGCUAUUUAAAAAAAAAAGUUCGAAGCAAUAAAGUACAUGUUAAUAAGGUAAAAAAUUGUUAACACGAUUUGUAUUCAUUGGAUUAACAUUUUAAUAGUAUAAAUAUUUAUUUUAGGGAAAAUGCCCAUUUGCACAUAAACAGAGAUUUUAAAGCCCAUUUAAAUGAAUAUAAGACUUCAUAGCCUAUUCCAAUGAAACUAAACAAAAAGACGACCUUGCCCUUGCUACAAAUCAACUAAACCACUCUCUUUCACAUCNNNNNNNNNNNNNNNNNNNNNNNNNNNNNNNNNNNNNNNNNNNNNNNNNNNNNNNNNNNNNNNNNNNNNNNNNNNNNNNNNNNNNNNNNNNNNNNNNNNNNNNNNNNNNNNNNNNNNNNNNNNNNNNNNNNNNNNNNNNNNNNNNNNNNNNNNNNNNNNNNNNNNNNNNNNNNNNNNNNNNNNNNNNNNNNNNNNNNNNNNNNNNNNNNNNNNNNNNNNNNNNNNNNNNNNNNNNNNNNNNNNNNNNNNNNNNNNNNNNNNNNNNNNNNNNNNNNNNNNNNNNNNNNNNNNNNNNNNNNNNNNNNNNNNNNNNNNNNNNNNNNNNNNNNNNNNNNNNNNNNNNNNNNNNNNNNNNNNNNNNNNNNNNNNNNNNNNNNNNNNNNNNNNNNNNNNNNNNNNNNNNNNNNNNNNNNNNNNNNNNNNNNNNNNNNNNNNNNNNNNNNNNNNNNNNNNNNNNNNNNNNNNNNNNNNNNNNNNNNNNNNNNNNNNNNNNNNNNNNNNNNNNNNNNNNNNNNNNNNNNNNNNNNNNNNNNNNNNNNNNNNNNNNNNNNNNNNNNNNNNNNNNNNNNNNNNNNNNNNNNNNNNNNNNNNNNNNNNNNNNNNNNNNNNNNNNNNNNNNNNNNNNNNNNNNNNNNNNNNNNNNNNNNNNNNNNNNNNNNNNNNNNNNNNNNNNNNNNNNNNNNNNNNNNNNNNNNNNNNNNNNNNNNNNNNNNNNNNNNNNNNNNNNNNNNNNNNNNNNNNNNNNNNNNNNNNNNNNNNNNNNNNNNNNNNNNNNNNNNNNNNNNNNNNNNNNNNNNNNNNNNNNNNNNNNNNNNNNNNNNNNNNNNNNNNNNNNNNNNNNNNNNNNNNNNNNNNNNNNNNNNNNNNNNNNNNNNNNNNNNNNNNNNNNNNNGAUUUAAGGGAUAUAAAUUUAUGAUGACUGGAUUUAUUGAAACAUUAUGUGAUUUCCUAAUUAGCUACCAAUUUUGGAAAAUUUUUGAAAAUUUGGAAAAUUUUCAACCCUUCCACCAAAUAUUUGGAAAAUUUUCAAACCAAUUUAUUUUGAAAAUUUCAAAGCCUCCGUUUUAUAUUUAUACACUCACCCUCUCUCUCUCUUCCACUUCAUGUUCCUCCCUCUUCCUUGUUAUCUCUCUGCCUAACUUCUUCUUCAACCAGCCACCUCCCUCUUCCUCCACUCCUCCCGUUCUUUCUCUCUCUCUUCCCUUUCUCCUUCCUCCUAAUCCUAGCUUUCUCUCUCUUCACCUCCUCCUCCGCCGCAUCCAAGCCCAACAAGCCCAACAACAACCAGCUCAUCUUCUCACUCACUCAUAUCACUCAAUCCCAGCACAAGAAAAAAAAAAAAAAAAAAGAACACCCCCCGCUCUCUCUCGCAUCUACCAUUCAAACACUCACACACACACACACAGAAGAGACUUGUAGACCUUUCACAGUGACUGUUUCAAUUUCCCAAACCAUCCCUCACCUUCAUCUCUACUUCAAUCCCAAAACCCCACACCAAAAAUCUAACCAUGCCUCUCUUUCUCUCUCACCUAUAAUCAACACACCACCCCCUUCUCAAUCUCACUUCAAUUCUCAUCACCACCACCAUGUCAUUCGCCUCCUCCGCCACCACCACGAUGCCGCUUCUCCUCCCUUGCCAGGGGAGUGACGGCCGAGACUCCUCGUCAGACCUCGGCUCCUCGACGACACGGCCGGCGAUGCUCAUGAUGCUCCUCGGCCGGGCCACAGGGCGCCGCGGUCCGUCCAUGUUGGUGAGGGAGACGGCGACGGGUGAGCUAGGCGAGCGCUGCGCCGACUAGGGGUACUUGAAGCCGGUGGUGGCACUGGACAUAAUGUGGAACACGACAUUCGUGGUGGUUUUGGUGGUGAUGCUGAUUUUGACCAGGGGCGAGUGGCCGAACACGCCAAUCCGGUUGUGGAUCUGAGGCUACGCGCUGCAGUGCUUUGUCCACGUUUGGUGUGGUGGUGUUUGGUGUGAGAAUAAAAGAACAGAAAAAGGAAAAAAAACUAAAAGAAAAAUAAACUCAAAAAAGAAACAUGAUGGCGACGAUCAAUAAAUGGUAGCGUAAAAGGAAACUAAAACGGCUAAACUAAAAGGAAAUUAUUACUCGUCGCUAAACUAAAACGUUUUAAUUUGUCGCUUGAUAGUAAAACGACAGAAUAAUAUACGUCGCUUAAGCUGUUCAGCGACGAAUAUUCGUCGCUUAAGGAAAUUAUUUUGUCACAUUAAAUCUAGCGACGAAAAUAGGCUAGUCGCUAAACCAAAAAGUUUCGUCGCUUAACAGUAAAACGACAGAAAAACAUACGUCGCUGAACAACUUAAGCGACGAAAAAUUUUCGUCGCUUAAGUGCAUUAUUCGUCGCUUAGGUAUGUGGCGACAAAAACAACACCCGUUGCUUGUUUCGUUUUCUUAAGUGACUGAUUUUAUGUUUUGUCGCUUAAGUACCUAUGAAACGUGUCAUAUGCGACGAAUCUUAAGCGACGCCGAUUUCGUCGCUUAUGUCGGAAGGCGACAAAUAUUGGUAUUUAGCCGACGAUUUUUUCCCGUCGCUUAAGCCUUUAUUUCUACUAGUGGACGUCUUUUCUGCUAGCACGAAAGAUAGGAUUAUCAGUAACGAUUCAUCUGCGAGUGUCCUCAAUAACCAAUGAGCACCUCCAUUCACCACAAUCACAUCACGACUUAUAGUAGGUCUGCAGGGAACGACACCCUUAAUCCGUCGCCAAGAAUCAGUUUCCAUUGUAUAUAUAGUUAACACAAUUCCAUGAUCAGAAAAGAACUGCCCGAUAACCACCUUAUAUUCCUUAGUGGAAUAAUCAAAUCCAAACCCAUAUAACUCCCCAAAACAAGGCUUCAAUCUUCCCGUUGUUGUCUUCGGUAGUUUCUUUGAUAUCUUGGCUACAGGGUCAACCAAAUGGAACCCAAAAAACGACUGGGACAACAAGAAGCUAUUGCAAGAACGGAUAAAGGGAAACCACUGGCGUCGUCCCUUUGGAAACUGAUUGUAAACGAAGUCGAGCUCGGUGGCUACUGCUACUGGACCAUCAACAUCAACAUUAACAUUAUCCUUACGAUUCUUUAGAACUUCGUGGUUCUGGUCAAAAAAUUGAUCCAGGUCCAGAGAGUAAAGGCAAUGAUGUAGCCUGUCAGUAAAUACGAGUCUUCGUCUUUGGAAGAAGACAUCCUUAUUAUUCUCAAUGGCUUUGGAGUGCAUGGCAAUGAACUUGGGAUUCGAUAUCAAGGACAGCCAUGACUUUGAUACCAACUUGAAACGGCACAAGGGCUUCACUGGUAGCCUCGAUAGAAUCUCAUGCAUGAUCUCCGGUGGAAGAUCGAUUUAUUUCCCCGUCAACUGGUCCUCCAUCUUUUAUGUAAGCUCUAAACCCUAAAACAGCUUCCAGGAAUCGAACUUAAUUAAACAUACAGUGAGAGGUCCAGGAAUCGAACUUAACUAUAUAGAAGCUGUCCAACUAUUUUAAAGUCUAGGUGGAAACAGAUAUCUAAUUGCAAGUUAGAUAGGGACUCCUAAUUGCGUGUGUAGUACUAUAUACAAGUGACAAAGAAAUAAUAUACUCGAAUAUCCAUUAACCCCAGCCAUUAUAUAUUUUUUUGAUCAAAAGGUCUUCACCUUGUCCAGGAGGAGGAUCAGUUGGUAUGGUACUUCUAUCCAGAGAUGUUAUUUCUAUCUGAAUUGAGCUGUUAUAACUGAAAGUGCAGAAAAAUUAUUUAAACCAUUUGAGUGAGGUUUACAAAGUUUGUCACGUUACUUCAGUACCAGUUCUUUGUUAUUUAAAAUAUUAACAGGUAUAUAUGUUUUUAGGUGCUUUACCUUGGAAUCACUGGGAAAAGAAUUUCGACUCCGUCGGAUGCACUAUAUGUAGGUCUUGAGACACAUUUUGUGCCAUCCCAAAACCUAGGCUCACUAACGUGUAUGUAUUUUUAUCCUAUUUUACUUUUUUUUGGACAAAGUUUUCUUAUCCUCUUUAUACAUUUCCCUUUUCCAUACCUCGGAUGCACAUGUUGGUUGAUUUACUUGGCACCAUGACUCUUAAUUUCAACUGUGCUAUUGUUUAGAUAAAAGUAACCUCAUUGUUGAUACAGUUCCCAGGAUCCACAUGAGGCCAUCAAAAAGAUUUUGGCAAAGUUCAGCAGUAACCCUGAUUCUGUAUCCCAACUGAAGCACCUUUUACCUCAAAUUACCUCAUCAUGUGGUGCAGACAAGUUGAAGAACUUGAAAAGCAUCAAUCGAGUUCAGAUGCUACUGGUUGUUUGUGAAUGCCACUCAUUUAUUGGUACUGAAAUGAACAUCAUUUAUACUUGUGCUAUUAGAGAGACUGAAUUUACCUUAGAAGCUAGUAUUGAAGUUCACUCUGGGAUUCCUUUAAUCUUCUUCUUGCUAAUUCAUUGUAUAUGUCGCAGUGGUGGAGUGGGCUAAUGAAGCUCUUCAAGGUAUUGGAAAGGGUGCUCCUUUUUCACUUUUCUUGACACAGAAGUGUUUCUCAAAGUUGCAUCUGCCCUUGGGAAGAAUGACAAUCAAUUAUCCAUGGUGAGUCUGGAUUUUAUAUGCUUUUCAUUCCUUUAUCAUAAGGGUUCUGCUAGCUCACUUUUUGUGGAAGUAACAUAAAUAUAGUAGAAAUUAAUGAUUCAAUAUGAUUUGGUAUGCUUCAAUGUAUAUUCUUCUUCAUAUACGAGGUUUAUAUAAAGAUACAAUCGUAGUGCUAAUAGGAAAAAUUUCCUACACCUAUACAUAAUAUUUAACCUACACAUACAAGAAAAGUAAAGAUUUACAAAUAUUCUACACUCCCCCUCAAGUUGGUGCAUAGAUAUCAAUCAUGCCCAACUUGUCAACCAAGUUGUCAAACACUUUCCUUGACACUUUUUUCGUAAGAACAUCUGCUAAUUGGUCUUCUGUAUACACGAAAAGGAAACGAAUUAUUUUCCUGUCUAAGUUUUCUUUGAUAAAAUGUCGAUCUACCUCCACAUGCUUGGUUCGGUCAUGUUGAACAGGAUUAUGAGCAAUUUCAAUUGCAGACGUGGUAUCACAAUGCAAGUCUAUAAGUUUCUUGAGUUUGAAACCCAAUUCUUUCAAUACAUUACGAAUCCAUAGCAUCUCACAAACUCCAUGUGUCAUACCUCGAAACUCUGCUUCAGCACUAGAUCUUGCAACGACUUUUUGUUUCUUACUACGCGAAGUCACAAGGUUUCCUCCAACAUUUGUAAAAUAUCCAGAUGUAGACCGUUGGAACUUGAUUUGGAUAGAUGGCAAAGUUGUGAUUCAUCUAAAUUGGUGUCUCAAUAGGCUUGCAGUCAAGCAUUCCGGUUUCAGCUAACAAGUUAACUACAUACUUUCACUGGGAUAAAGAAAUCCCAUUCUUUGACAGUGCAAUUUCAAUUCCGAGAAAAUACUUCAACUGUCCAAGGUCCUUCAUCUCAAACUCCUUUGAAAAAUACUUUUGUAGAGCCUUCAUCUCCUUUAGGUCAUCUCCUGUAACAAUCAUAUCAUCAACAUACACAAUUAGAACGGUGAUCUUACCCUGAUUACGCUUGAUGAACAAAGUGUGAUUCGAGUUGCUUUGUCUAUAACCAAAUAUCUUCAUUAAUUUGGAGAAUCUUCCAAACCAAGCUCUAGGAGACUGCUUCAAACCAUACAAAGACUUCUUCAACUUACAAACCUUUCUGGCAUCGCAAGGUCUACAUUUGACUCCUAGGGGCAUGUCCAUAUACACCUCUUCUUCCAAGUUUCCAUUGAGGAAAGCAUUCUUCACAUCAAACUGUCGUAGAGGUCAAUCUUUAGUUGCUGCAAGUGAAAUCAAGAUUCGAACAGUGUUGAUCUUUGCUACAGGCGCAAACGUUUCUUCAUAAUCAAUGUCAUACCGUCGAGUGUAUCCCUUGACAACCAACCGUGCUUUAUACCUGUCAAUGCUCCCAUCUGCUUUCAACUUUACGGUGAAUACCCAACGACAUUCAACGGUCUUCUUCUCAGCUGGUUUAGGCACAAUAUCCCAAGUCGAGUUUUUUUGUAAUGCCUCUAAUUCUUCGUUCACAUUACCAGAAGAAAGGCUUUAGCCGACGAAAAUAAAAAAACCAGGCCGACUAAUUAUUUUUUCGUCGACUAAAGUCCACGUUGGCCGACGAAAUUUUCCUUCGUCGGCUAAAGAAAUUUUUUCAUCGGCUAUACUAUACUUUAGCCGACGAAUUUUUUUUUCAUCGGCCAAAGUUUUCCUUCGUUGGCCAAAGUUUUUACUCGUCGGCUAAAGUAUUUUAAUAGACGAAAAAAAAUCUCUUCGGCUAUUAUCGAAAAAAGUCGUCGGCUAUUCACAACUUUAGCCGACGAAAUAAUUUAGCCGACGAAAUAAUAGUAUCGUCGGCUAAAAGAAAAACAAUAAAAUGUUGUAUAACUUGCUUAGUAGGUUUUAAACAAAUACACAACUUUGUGAACCAACUCUACAUAGAAGAAAAAUUAACAAAAAUGUAGUGAAAUAAGAUGUGUUCAGAAUGGUGAAAUACGGCUAUGGUUCAAAAAUCACGUAAAUCGGGUAACGUCUCUGAUGUAGAACAGUCGAAACCCGGUAUGCUGCAGAUUUGGCGUUCGGUGUCCGAUUGACUAUUGUGAUACCUUUUCGAAAGCGUAACGGCCAUCCGAGUCCAUUUAGGGCUUCAAAAUGCAGUUUUCUUAUUUCCGAUUAGAGUUGACCGUUUCGAUCGAGCCCUUAACGUUGUCGAAUCCAGUUGAAUUUUUUACCAUAGACAUCUUUCGUCAUAAUGAUCAUAUCUGACGGUCGAAUUUUGGUUUGUGAAUUUUAGUUAUCGGAAUCACAAUGUGUCUACUAAUGUUAUAUAACUUCUUUGUGAACCAACUCUACAUAGGAAGCAAAAUUAUCAAAAAUCUUGAGAAAUAAGAUGUGUUCAGAAUGGUGAAAUACGGCUAUGGUUCAAAAAUCACGUAAACCGGGUGUAAUACCCCAGAUUUUCAUAUUAUUUUCCUGGUAUUAUUUUCGAAAUUUAUGAAGGAUUAUUGGUGGGAAAUUCCUUUCGUUUCGUAUGUGCAAAGUUAAAGUUUCAGGAGUCAAUUUUAUUAAGGUGUCUUGACUUUUAAGAGGUCAAAAGUUGACUUUAUUAUCCGUAAGUUAUUUUCAAAAUCUUUCUGCAUGAAAAUUGUAGAGUCGAUACGAGUUCGUAGACACGUGGCACGCGUAAAACGGAUAUCGUAAGAAAAAGUUACGGUUAGAGGAAGUUAGUUUUCGAUUUUAGAAGAUGUAUAAUUAGAAAAGGAGAACCUAGAAACCCUAAAAAGUUUCCAAAAAAAUCAGAAAAGUUCUCUCUCUUCCUCCCCGAGCCUCCCACACACCCUCAAACUUCUUCCGGCCAUAACUCGGCUAUUCGGCGACGGAUUUGGGCGUGCUUGGAAUCGUUGGAAAGCUCUCACUCCCCUCUUUCAAUUCAUACAAGCCUCACACCCUAUGGAGCAUUGUGCACGGCGCAGCAAGGCCCGCAAGUUACUGCUGCCGUCGGCGGUGAAGCUCUGACCGAUUCCCGCGACAUCGAGGUUUGAGGCUACCCAGUUCUGGAAGUUCUUGUCCUUCUGAGCAUGAUGAUACCAGCCUUGAAGCCCAAUUCAAAGCGUGGAGCUUUGGAGUUCGAAAUGCUCCUUGUUUCUUUCCGGCGAUGUUUCCAGCCUCUUUUCGGCCGAAUUGACUUUGGCCACAGGUAUGAAAAGUGUUCCAUUUGAUGUGACCUACAAGUUUGUUGUUGGGAGCUUGCUUAGAUUUUGAAGUUGAUGGAGUGGCGCAUGGGGCCCACUCGCCGCCGCCUGUGGUGGCGCGUGGCAGCGUGUCCGAUAGUGUUCCAAGCUUUAUUUUUAUGUGGUUAGCUAGCUCUUGUUGUUGUGAGCUUGUUGAGAGGUGGAAAUUCUAGGUUUUGAGCAAGUUUUGCAUGUUAGGACUUUAAGUUUAAUCUUAGGCUUAUGUGAGGUUUGAGUUUAGGUUUUGAGGAUUAGAGGUAGCUGUAUUGAGUCGUUAAAUAUGACGAUCUUGGAAAGUUAUCCUCCCUUGGGCUAAGGGUUAGUUAAGGGUGUUUUGUUAUCCUAUAGUUCCUUGGUUACUAAGGUUAUUAUUUGUGUAAUUUUAGGUGAUUUGUGAAGUGUGAUUGGCUUGGUUUGACUCUUUUGUUUAUGGAAGACGCAGCGGGAAUAUAUAGGUGAGUAACAUCUCACCAAGGUUCACUUGGGACCAAUUAUUGAUGAAUUAUUUAUUGAUGAUGAUUUAUGAUAAUUAUUGUGUUG
rnacentral:lncRNA from 1 species